rnacentral:lncRNA from 1 species
AGAGAGAGAGAGCGGUGCUCUUCUCUUUGUUAAAAAAAAAUGUCACCAAAGGAGAGAGAAAAAUUACUCCUUCAAUUAGGAAAGAGGGAGCUUUGUUACUAAAAGGGAGGCAAGGAAGGGAUUUUCCCACCUUAGUUGUCCAAUGAAUAUAAAAGAGGCAAAGAAAGAUUAUCCAUCUUUGUUGUCCUGUACUUUCAAAGGAGAUAAAGAGAGAAAAAUGUUCACUUAAUUCUCUUAUAAUUAGGAGGCAAAAGAAAUCAAUCGGGUUACCGAUUGUUACUCUUUUGAUCGUCCUUUUAUUGGAAGAACAACGGGAUGUUCGAAAAAUAAUCGAACCCCUUGAUUCUAUCCAGAGUCGAACCUCUCGAUUUGGCCAAAUUAGACCAAAUUGAGAUUUAAUCGCAUUGGACGCUUUAUGCUCCAAAUUAAAUUAAGUCAUGAUGUUGAAGUUGGUUUUAACCUUUUCAUUAUUAAUGUGAGUUGAAUUUUCAUUAUUCAUGACUGAGAAUUUGAAAAUUAAAAAAGUGCAUGCGAAAUUUUAAGCAUUGAAUUUGAUUUUAAAUCAGAUAUUUAAAUUUUUUAGGUUAACAUUUUGAUCUCGAACAAGUCCCAAAUAAUCUCAAACUAACUACCUCAAAAUAAAGAAUCUCGUUUGGGACCAGCCUAAACCUGAAUCUGAGCCCAAUUCUAUAGCUUGCCCAAAGAAAAUAUGGACCUAAGCCAUACGGGCCUAAAUUGAGCCUGAGCCCACAUCCAAAACUUAGAUAUAAUUCAGGCCUCAACCUGAAUCCAUACUAUAUGGGCCUGAAUUUAGCCCAUGCCCGAAUCCAUACUAUAUAAGCCUAAAUUUAGUCCAUGCCUGAAUCCACAGCUUGAAUUACAUGAACCCACACUGAGCCCAGGCCCAGGUUUGAAUACAAACCUAACCCAAAGUAGACCAUAAAAAAAAAGUGCCCAAACUGGAUCAAGCCCAAUUUAGAUCUUCAUGAGACUUAAGAACCAAAGUUUAAACUCACACUCCAAACUACAUGGAUCUCCUUAUAUAGACUAGAACCAAAUCCAAAAAUCUAACCCAAACCAAGACUUGAAAUCAUGCUUACCAAUCAAAUCCAAUCUUGAACCUAAGCCACAUGGGCUAGGUACAAUCUGAAUAUGAGACCAAGCCCUACCAACUUUUUUUCUAUCUCUUUUCCAUACCAAUUUGUUAGGGGGCAAAUCUUUUUAACCCAAUUCUCUAGCACAUUAAACUAGAGUCAUAUUGCUACCACAUUCAUACUAAAUUGAAUUCUAAAAUAUUUAUUUAGAAUUGAUCAAACUAUCUAUUUAUCUUAGUAUAUGUGACUAAGGUAAAAGUAAUAAAUUAGGUUUCACCUAAUCAAAUCAAAUUUAUUGGACUCUAAUACAACUACCUGGAGUUCAAACAAAUGAAGCUAAGUUAGACUCUAAUACAUAUACUUAGAGUUUAAUUUAAAUUAAAUUUGACUAAUCCUAAUAUAUAUAAUUAGGGUUUAGUUAACAUUUCACCUUAUGGUGAACCCAAAGUAAAUAUAAUGAAGCUCUAACAUAUAAGAUUAGAGCCUAACUACACUGGACUCUAAGAUAUAAAAUUAGAGUCUAAUUUAAAAUAUUUGGGCUAAUCCUAACAUAUACAUUUAGGAUGAAGGCUUAAAUUGAAUAUCAAAUCAAAUUCAAUUGGACUUUAUCACAUACAAUUAGAGUUCAAUUAACCAAAUCAAACUCUAAUGCAUCUAAUUAGAGUUUAAUUUGAAUCAAAUCCGAUUAAAUCCCAAUAUAUAUACAUGGAAUUUAAUCAAUCUUUCAUCUUAGGGUGAACAAUAUUGUUGAGUUCCGAAACAUAUAGAGCCCAACCAAAUCAACUUGAUCAUAUACUUUGGGCAUCUUGGAAUAUAUAACUAAAGUGCAAUUAAAAUUAAGUUCAAUUGACCAUCAUAUUGUAAAAUUAAGCUUUUUUUUUUUAUGCUCUAUAUAUGUACACUGAGGGUAUGCCCUUGGUUAAAGCCAUAUAAUUGAAUGAUAAACUAUAUUAUAAAAUCUUUUUUUUGUUCAAUUCCAGUUUAUUUCUCCUUCAACAUUUCAGAGGUCUCUUAAUCGAAGGUAUCCUAAUAUUUUAUAGGGGUAAUUAAUAGUAAAUGCUUGCAUUUAUUGAAAGUCGUGGAUUCAUAAUACUUGAUACCUAUAUAUGCAUAUUUAAAUAUUAAUCUGAAUCAUGAAUACUACCCUACGGAAAAUUAAAAUAAGAUCAACCGUGCAAGGUGCGUCAUUCGUGGUGGCAGACAGGUGUGGGCCACAGUCAAGUCCCUAGAGAGAGAUGGGAGACCCGAGAGAGAGGAUAAGAGAGAAAGAGUUAGAGAGAUGGAGAGAUCGCGGCCGACUGGAGAGAAGGACGGCUGGUGGUAUAGGGGUGGCGAGGGCUCUAGGGAGAGAAGAGAAGAGGACCAAGGUUAGGGUUCAAUAGGUCAGUCAUCUAUAUAUACAUAUAUAGAUACGUAUACACACACACACACACACACACAUAUAUAUAUAGAGUUCGGCUAUGGUGCUUAUAAAAGCACCAAGCACUUAGUGCUUGUGAACUUUUUACUGUUAGAUCUACGUCUUUGAUCAUUUUUACCCGUUAGAUUAUACUAUUCAACCAACCACCCACUCAACCCUAGGGGGCCCACAUUAUCCUAACGGCACAUCCCUUAAUCCAAGGGCCGAAAACUUACAAGUACCAAUAACUUGGUACUUUUAAAAGCAUAGGAGCUCAAUUCUAUAUAUAUAUAUAUAUAUAUAUAUAUAUAUAGAGAGAGAGAGAGAGAGAGAGAGAGAGAGAGAGAGAGAGAGAGAGAGAGNNNNNNNNNNNNNNNNNNNNNNNNNNNNNNNNNNNNNNNNNNNNNNNNNNNNNNNNNNNNNNNNNNNNNNNNNNNNNNNNNNNNNNNNNNNNNNNNNNNNNNNNNNNNNNNNNNNNNNNNNNNNNNNNNNNNNNNNNNNNNNNNNNNNNNNNNNNNNNNNNNNNNNNNNNNNNNNNNNNNNNNNNNNNNNNNNNNNNNNNNNNNNNNNNNNNNNNNNNNNNNNNNNNNNNNNNNNNNNNNNNNNNNNNNNNNNNNNNNNNNNNNNNNNNNNNNNNNNNNNNNNNNNNNNNNNNNNNNNNNNNNNNNNNNNNNNNNNNNNNNNNNNNNNNNNNNNNNNNNNNNNNNNNNNNNNNNNNNNNNNNNNNNNNNNNNNNNNNNNNNNNNNNNNNNNNNNNNNNNNNNNNNNNNNNNNNNNNNNNNNNNNNNNNNNNNNNNNNNNNNNNNNNNNNNNNNNNNNNNNNNNNNNNNNNNNNNNNNNNNNNNNNNNNNNNNNNNNNNNNNNNNNNNNNNNNNNNNNNNNNNNNNNNNNNNNNNNNNNNNNNNNNNNNNNNNNNNNNNNNNNNNNNNNNNNNNNNNNNNNNNNNNNNNNNNNNNNNNNNNNNNNNNNNNNNNNNNNNNNNNNNNNNNNNNNNNNNNNNNNNNNNNNNNNNNNNNNNNNNNNNNNNNNNNNNNNNNNNNNNNNNNNNNNNNNNNNNNNNNNNNNNNNNNNNNNNNNNNNNNNNNNNNNNNNNNNNNNNNNNNNNNNNNNNNNNNNNNNNNNNNNNNNNNNNNNNNNNNNNNNNNNNNNNNNNNNNNNNNNNNNNNNNNNNNNNNNNNNNNNNNNNNNNNNNNNNNNNNNNNNNNNNNNNNNNNNNNNNNNNNNNNNNNNNNNNNNNNNNNNNNNNNNNNNNNNNNNNNNNNNNNNNNNNNNNNNNNNNNNNNNNNNNNNNNNNNNNNNNNNNNNNNNNNNNNNNNNNNNNNNNNNNNNNNNNNNNNNNNNNNNNNNNNNNNNNNNNNNNNNNNNNNNNNNNNNNNNNNNNNNNNNNNNNNNNNNNNNNNNNNNNNNNNNNNNNNNNNNNNNNNNNNNNNNNNNNNNNNNNNNNNNNNNNNNNNNNNNNNNNNNNNNNNNNNNNNNNNNNNNNNNNNNNNNNNNNNNNNNNNNNNNNNNNNNNNNNNNNNNNNNNNNNNNNNNNNNNNNNNNNNNNNNNNNNNNNNNNNNNNNNNNNNNNNNNNNNNNNNNNNNNNNNNNNNNNNNNNNNNNNNNNNNNNNNNNNNNNNNNNNNNNNNNNNNNNNNNNNNNNNNNNNNNNNNNNNNNNNNNNNNNNNNNNNNNNNNNNNNNNNNNNNNNNNNNNNNNNNNNNNNNNNNNNNNNNNNNNNNNNNNNNNNNNNNNNNNNNNNNNNNNNNNNNNNNNNNNNNNNNNNNNNNNNNNNNNNNNNNNNNNNNNNNNNNNNNNNNNNNNNNNNNNNNNNNNNNNNNNNNNNNNNNNNNNNNNNNNNNNNNNNNNNNNNNNNNNNNNNNNNNNNNNNNNNNNNNNNNNNNNNNNNNNNNNNNNNNNNNNNNNNNNNNNNNNNNNNNNNNNNNNNNNNNNNNNNNNNNNNNNNNNNNNNNNNNNNNNNNNNNNNNNNNNNNNNNNNNNNNNNNNNNNNNNNNNNNNNNNNNNNNNNNNNNNNNNNNNNNNNNNNNNNNNNNNNNNNNNNNNNNNNNNNNNNNNNNNNNNNNNNNNNNNNNNNNNNNNNNNNNNNNNNNNNNNNNNNNNNNNNNNNNNNNNNNNNNNNNNNNNNNNNNNNNNNNNNNNNNNNNNNNNNNNNNNNNNNNNNNNNNNNNNNNNNNNNNNNNNNNNNNNNNNNNNNNNNNNNNNNNNNNNNNNNNNNNNNNNNNNNNNNNNNNNNNNNNNNNNNNNNNNNNNNNNNNNNNNNNNNNNNNNNNNNNNNNNNNNNNNNNNNNNNNNNNNNNNNNNNNNNNNNNNNNNNNNNNNNNNNNNNNNNNNNNNNNNNNNNNNNNNNNNNNNNNNNAACUUCAAAUUGAUAAUCGGCACCGUUGAAAUUGAUCUACACAAUUAGAAAUGUUUAGAAACCAAAUUUUGUAAUAUUUAAAAAUCAUUAUCAAGUUCAUCUUAAGAGUUAAAAAAUGAACGGUCAUAAAUGAAUAACCUUCUUAAAAUAGAGGUUAGACUUUCUCAAUUCAUAAUCAGAGUUAUCAAACAUUAUCUAAAUAGUAUAAAGAAUUUUCUAUCAAAAAUUCAAGCAAUUUGGAUUGCUCUACACCGUUAAACAAGCAAACGGCUCAUACAGGCCGUAAAAAAUUGUCGAUUUUACGACACUUUGAUCACUAUGUUGUUGGCCUAGUGGCCCUAAUCUUUUAUUAGAUUUUGAUGAUAACAAAUAAUUACGAUUAUUGGACUAAUUCUUUAUCUUGAGUUUUUAUGUUUUAAAUCUUUAUAUCUUCAAAAAGGACCCAAGAUGGGCAAUCUUCUAGCACCGAGCCUCACCACUUGAAGCUAUAUCUGCUUCCUUUGUCAAAACAAACUCACUCUCUCUGUUCUUUAUUUGAUGCUCUAUUAGAGUGAGAAAUUUUGAGCUAAGUUUAAGACUAUUCAUCUUAUCACCUUAUAGAUCACUUAAACAUUUUCUAACUUUUGAUUAGGUGCAUAGGAUUUUUAAAUAUUCAAAAAAACUGCUCAAAUUCUGUGUUCUGUCAAGUUGCGAUUUCUGGACGCUGUUCCGGGCGCCCUAAAGUGGAUCCGAAUCUCAUGAGAUUUUUUGGAUCCUGCCUGUUUGCUGUUUGGGUGGUCCAGAAACUUCUUUACCGGAUCUGGUCGCCCGAAUUUCAGUUUAGGGCGACCGAAAGUGUUUGACUUGACAGGUUGCGUAUCAGUCCAAAAAGUUCUGACGCAGGCGGCCCGCGCGUUGAAAAUCUGGGCACCCACAUCUUCUGGAAGCCCAAAAUGAUCCCGAAUCCAGAAAAAUCCGACUGUCAGAAAAAUUUGUCCCUCGAGAUCUGGGCGCCCACAAUUUCUGACGGCCCAAAUCCAGAGGAAGCGGCGCGUGUCAGAAAAGCUGUUCCUCGUGUUCUGGGCGCCCACAACUUUUGAUGGCCCGAACAUACAAAGUCAAGAAAAGCGGCGCACGUAGUCUAACAGGCAGCUGGCGUGCACAACUUCUGGGCGCCCGGAAACAGGUUUAGGGCGCCCGGAAACAGGUUUAGGGCGCCCGAAAGUACAACGGACAAAAGUUGCCCGAGGCUAUAAAUAGAUGGUAUUGAGGCCUUUCUCAGCAGCAACUAGAUAGUUCAUUUUGAGCUUAAAAAUUCAGUGUCUCUAAUACUCUUAGCUCUCAAUUCUCUUUAUACUUGAGUGAAAUUUGUAGUGAGAUUUAAUCUUGUAAAAAUAGAGAAAAUCAAAGUCUUGAAGCUUGAAAAGAAGAAGGAGUUGGUGUGAAGGCUUGGUGCUUGCCCGCAAAAGCAUCAUCUAGUGGAGAUCCAACAUUCUCUAGUAUUGAGAAGUUGGCGGGGACGUAGGCAAAGUGCUGAACCUCGAAACAAAUUGAUUGUGUGCUUUUGAGUUUGCAUUUCUUUAAACUUCUCACUUUUAUUUGCAUCGGAUCUUUAAUUUGCUUGAUUAUUUGGAUUUUUAUUUUAGAAACCUAAUUCACCCCCCCUCUUAGGUUGCCAUUUUGAUCCUCAAUUGGUAUCAGAGCGAGGUCUCACAUUAUUUAGAUUAAAAUCUAAGUGAGAAUGGCAUCCACGGGAAAGAAUAUCGAAGGACAAUCUAUUGUUCGGCCACCAUUUUUUGAUGGGACCGAUUAUCCUUUUUGGAAGAUUAGAAUGAAGAUAUUCUUUCAAUCUCUAGAUUUUGAUAUUUGGGAUAUAAUCGAAAGUGGUUAUAUCGCUCCAUCAAAAUCAAGAGCGGAAUGGAAUGAAGCCGAAAAAUUUCGCUUUCAAUUGAAUGCUAAAGCUAUCAAUUCAUUCCUUUGCGCUCUCAGUAGAGAAGAGUUUCACCGAAUCUCUACAUGUACAACGGCUAAAGAGAUUUGGGAUAAAUUAGAAGUUACUCAUGAAGGUACUUCUAGGGUGAAGGAAUCUAAAAUAAGCAUGCUUAUGUCAAAUUAUGAACUAUUCAAAAUGGAGGAAAGUGAAUCCAUUUCGAAUAUGUUCACAAGAUUUACUAACAUUAUAAAUAGCUUGAAAGCCUUAGGUAAGGAUUUUCCUCAAUCGGACUUGGUACGAAAACUUCUUCGUGUACUACCAAGAAGUUGGAUACCUAAGGUUACGGCUAUCCAAGAAGCUCAUGACUUGGACAAAGUAAAAAUUGAUGAACUUGUUGGAUCACUCAUGGCGCAUGAACAACGCCUCAAAGAAUAUGACAACGAAGAGGCUCCUGAGAAAAAGAAAAGCCUUGCACUUAAGGGAGUCAUUGCUUCCGAGAGUGAAGAUGGCGAAGAAGGUUCGAGCGAAGAAAUCGCUAUGAUUUCAAAAAGGCUCGAUCGACUAAUCAAGAAGCACAACUUGAGGAGACCUAAACGAGACGGGUUCAAAGGUGAAGGAUUCAAGAAAGGAAUCAUUUGCUACAAUUGUAAUAAACCGGGAUAUUUGAAAAGUGAAUGCACUCUUCCAAACAAAACUUUUAAGAAAGACAAGAAAAAUAAAGCCUUCAAUGCACUAAAUUGGGACGCCCCCGACGAAUCUAGCGAUGAGGAAUCGGAAAACGAAGUAGCCCAAAUUUGCCUUGAGGAGCAAAGCUCAAUCCUAUGUCUUAUUGCUCUUGAAGAUGAGGUGUGUCUCCAAUCAAAAGGUGCAAAUGACAAAUGGUACUUGGAUAGCGGAUGCUCAAGACAUAUGACUUGGGACCAAACCAAGUUUAAAUCAAUUGAAAUGAAAGAUGGAGGAUUUUUUACUUUUGGAGACAAUACUAAAGGAAAGAUCAUUGGAAUCGGCACAAUUGGUAAUGAAAAGGUUAAUAUUUCAAAUGUUCUUUUAGUUGAUGGUCUUAAGCAUAAUUUACUAAGCAUUAGUCAAUUAUGUGACAAAGGCUAUUUUGUUAAAUUUGAAACAUCUCAUUGUAGCAUUCUUGAUCCAUCUAUAAAUGAGGUAGCUUUUAUGGGUUUUAGAUCCAAGAAUGUUUACACUGUUGAUUUAGGCAAACUCUCACAUAAAGGAGAAAAAUAUUUUUCGGUUCAAAUUAACGAAUCUUGGCUUUGGCAUGGAAGGUUAGCACAUGCUAGUAUGGAUUCUCUUUCAAAACUCUCCAAAAGAAAACUUGUAAAAGGUUUACCUAAAAUAGACUAUGCCAAAGGUGAAGUUUGCAAUGCUUGCGCUCAAACAAAGCAAGUAAAAUCAUAUUUUAAAUCCAAAAAUAUUGUUUCCACAACUAGGCCUUUGGAAUUGAUUCAUAUGGAUCUUUUUGUACCAAUUGAUGUCUCUAGCAUUGGCAGAAGCAAGUAUGUUUUCGUAAUUGUUGAUGAUUACUCAAGAUAUACUUGGACUUUAUUUUUAAGACACAAGUAUGAUACUUUUAAAUCCUUCAAAGACUUUGUCUAUCGUGUUCAAAAUAAAAAGAAUUGUAUAAUCUCCAAAAUUAGAAGUGAUCAUGGUGGUGAAUUCGAAAAUCAUAACUUUGAAAAAUUUUGCAAUGAAUUGGGAAUAGAACAUUAAUUUGCUACCCCUCGAACACCUCAACAAAAUGGGGUUGUUGAACGCAAAAAUAGAUCUCUCCAAGAAAUGGCUAGAUCUAUAUUAAUUGAGGGGAAGUUGCCUAAAUAUUUUUGGGCCGAAGCCGUAAACACAGCUUGCUAUAUUAUGAAUCGUGUACUAAUUCGACCAAUUCUUGAGAAGACUCCUUUCAAAUUAUGGCAUAAUAGAACUCCCAAUAUUGGUUACUUUAAAAUUUUUGGUUGUAAAUGUUUCAUUUUAAACACAAAAGACAAGUUGGAAAAGUUUGAUGCUAAAUCCAACGAAGCAAUAUUCUUGGGUUAUUCUUCUACUAGUAAAGUUUAUCGAGUGUAUAAUCGACGAACUUUAAUAAUAGAGGAAAGUAUGCACAUUCUCUUUAAAGAAUAUAAGGGAAAGGAUACUUCCUAUGAAGAUGAUCUCUUGACUUUGAAAAGUUAAAUAUAAACUCUACACCCCAAGAAGUUGAACCAUCUAAGAAAAGUGAGGAGUUAAUCUCUAAAGAGAUUGAACCCACUCCCUUACCUAAAGUGUGAAAAUUCGCCACUUAUCAUCCCAAGGACUCCAUCAUUGGAUAUCAAAGUAAAAAAGUCAAGACAAAAUCCUCUCUUAGAUUACUUUAUGACCACUUGACUUUUAUAUUUCAAAUUGAACCUAAAAAUUUUGUUGAAGCUAGUAAUGAUGAAAAUUGGCUCAUUGCGAUGCAAGAAGAAUUCAACCAAUUUGAGAGGAAUCAAGUUUGGAUGCUUGUGGAAAGACCGAGUGAUCAUACCGUUAUUGGCACUAAAUGGGUUUUCUGAAACAAGCGAGAUGAAUCCGGUGUUGUGGUUCGAAACAAGGCUAGGCUAGUGGCCCAAGGUUUCAACCAAAUUGAAGGGAUUGAUUUUGAUGAAACAUUUGCACCGGUUGCUAGACUUGAAGCUAUUCGAAUUCUUCUAGCAUUUGCCUCUUAUAUGAAUUUCAAAUUAUUUCAAAUGAAUGUAAAAAGUGCUUUCUUAAAUGGAUACAUUUCCGAAGAAGUUUAUGUUGAGCAACCACCCGGUUUUGAAAAACAUAACUUUCUGGAUCACGUUUUUAAGCUUUCAAAAGCACUUUACGGUUUAAAACAAGCUCCUAGAGCCUGGUAUAAAAGACUUAGCACUUUUCUUACUUCAAAUAAUUUUUCAAGAGGAAAAGUUGACACCACAUUAUUUAUCAAAAUUAAGGAUAAAGAUUUUCUCAUUGUACAAAUUUAUGUGGAUGAUAUUAUAUUUGGUGCUACUAAUGAAUCUCUUUGUAAAGAAUUCUCUAAGCUAAUGCAAAAUGAGUUUGAAAUGAGCAUGAUGGGCGAGCUCUCAUUCUUCCUUGGACUCCAAGUUAAACAAAUGAAAGAUGGAAUAUUCAUCAAUCAAGCCAAGUAUGCAAAAGACCUAAUCAAAAGAUUUGGCUUGGAAAGCUCAAAAGAGACGAACACUCCAAUGAGUGCCUCAACUAAACUUGACAAGGAUGAAAAAGGCAAGGAUGUUGAUAUCAAACUCUACCGAGGUAUGAUUGGCAGUUUACUUUAUCUUACCGCGAGUCGGCCGGACAUUAUGUUUAGUGUUUGCUUGUGUGCUCGGUUUCAAGCUCAACCUAAGGAGUCACACUUAGUGGCUGUAAAGAGAAUUCUUAGAUAUGUUAAAGGGACUCUCAACUUAGGGUUAUGGUAUCCCAAGGGCACUAAUUUUAAUCUCAUUGGCUUUUCAGAUGCCGACUUUGCCGGAUGCAAAGUUGAUCGGAAAAGUACGAGUGGGACUUGUCAAUUUCUUGGUCACUCCUUAGUCUCAUGGUCUUCGAAAAAGCAAAAUUCGGUUGCACUUUCAACCGCCGAAGCCGAAUAUAUCACGGCGGGUUGUUGUUGUGCACAGUUUUAUGGAUGAAACAAACCCUUGAGGACUUUGGAGUACAUCAAAAACAAGUUCCAAUCAAAUGUGAUAAUACUAGUGCCAUCAACAUAUCUAGAAAUCCUAUUCAACAUUCUAGAACUAAACACAUUGAAAUUAGACAUUAUUUUAUUAGAGAUCAUAUUCAAAACGAAGAUGUCAUUAUAGAAUUUGUGGACACUCAUAAUCAAUUAGCGGACAUUUUUACUAAACCACUUAGUGAGGAUAGGUUCACUCAACUUAGAAGAGAAUUGGGAAUGAUUGAUUUAUCUGCUUGAUUUUCUCUUUUUGAUUGACUGUUAUUUUGUCUUUAUUUUUGCCUUGCAUUUUAUUUUUUUUGGAAACACCUUUUGCUUUGUGCAAAUUCCGGACGGAAAUUUUCGGUCGCCCAAAAAUUUUCGGGCGCCCGAAACAUGCGUUGACUACAGUGCCUCGUCUGACCGACCUAAUGGGUUAACGGGUUUCGGAUCCGGGCGACCACUCGGUUCGCACCCGCGCCCGAAAACCCGCUUUGACCGCCGCGCCACUUUGACCGCCCUGGCGGGUUACCGGAUUCCAGAUCCGGGCAACCGAUCCGACCCGCACUUCCGCCCGAAACCCGCUAGCGAGGCCCCCUUGUCGUCCCAGCCACCCGAGCCCUCUUUUUCAUUUUUUUUUUCUUUCUCCUCCCAGUCCGGUCGCCCACUUCCUGCGCCUAGCCCGCAUCAGAUCCGCCUAAAACUCCUCCAAAACUCAGAUUUCCUCUCCUUCCUCUUCAAUCUGUGGUAUUUCUUCUCCAUUUUUUUUCUUUACAAACUGAUAUCCCUAAUCUUGCUUUUAUUUUUAUUUUUUUUACAGAUUUCUUGUACUUUGUGCAACAUAAUCCUUUUCUCUACCUAGAUCUACAUCAUUUCAUCUUAAAUCUUGCAUUUUGUCAUCUUUUGCAUAAACCCCUACGAUUGUUAACCUCUAAUUAUUUUUAAAUUAUAUAUAUAUAUAUAUAUAUAUAUAUAUAUAUAUAUAUAGAAAAAUGCCUAGAACUAAAAAUGCAUCAAGGGGCCCUUCACAUAGAGAUUAUCAAAAUGAAGAUUUUGAUGCUUUUAACUUUAUAUUUAGAGAUGCUCAAGAUAAAUUUCUUUUAGGCCGUUCCGUUCAACCUUGCCGUAACAUUCAUCAUCUAAAUUUUGAUUGUUAUGAACUUUUGGAUAAGCUCACACAAGUUGGUUGGGAUUUUUUUGUUCAAAAUUCGCGACCUUUUUAUCCGGACCUAAUUAGGACUUUUUAUGCAAAUGCCACUUUUAAUUCCGAAUUUACUACUAUUACUUCCCAGUACCGGGGACGUGUUUUUGCCAUUACUUCUAUCCUUCUUUACACCGUUUUAAACAUUCCAAAUGACGGCGUUUGCUACUACCAAACCAACACUUUGAACUUUCCUGCAUUUUCUGAGGCGCAACUACGCAAUCAUUUUCUUUGUGAAGAUUCUACUUCACGAGAAGAUUGCUCCCAUCUUUCCUUUCCUCACCGCCUCGCCCACUUUUUACCUACUAAAGUAGUUCUUCCUCGAGACGGUCACCACACCGCUGUUCAAAAAAUGAAUCUUUUUCUACUUUAUCAUCUAUUUGCGGGAAUCUGGGUUAAUUUGGGGUAUAUCAUCAUUCGCCACAUGGCCGUCGCCGCUUCUCAUCCCUCGCGCUCACUUCCAUAUGGCUCUUUGCUCACCGCCGUCCUCGAGUUCAUGUCGUUUGAUCUUUCCGACGUGAGGCCGAUGAAGUACCCUUCCGCCAUUUCUACCGCCACUUUUUCCACCCUAGGCUUCAAGAGAAAUCGUCAUGGCAUUUGGGUAAGAAAGCAUGUGAUUGAUUCGCCGAGCGAGCAUAGUGAUGACAAUACCGACGCCGAGGAUGAUCCUAUGCCUUAUGAGCCGCCAGCUCGAGCGCCUUCUCCACCAGUUGAGCCGCCACCUCGAGCGCCUUCUCCACCUUUUGAGCCACCACCUGUUGUGCCUCCGCCUUAUGCUCCUCCUCCUAUGGAUUUUCAAGACCAAGUUUUUAAUCGACUAGAUAUGAUGGAAGAGCAUAUGCACACUUUACAGACAGACGUUUCCGGCAUCAAGGCAUACAUGGACUCUCUCUUUGGACCUUCUAGUGCCUUUUAUGCCGCAUAUGGACCCCACGUUGAUCGACCAUCAUCCUCCACUAUGCCUCCACCGGUUUCGCCCACGGGUCAUGAGGAUGAUGAUGAAGAGGAUGAAAAUGAUGACUAGCUCUAUUUUACUUCUUUAUGCUUUCUUUUAUGCUAUUUCUAUGCUAUAUCUUAUGCUUCAUCACUUUUUGCCAGUCUCCGUUAUAUUUCUUUUUGUUGAUGACAAAGGGGGAGACUUUGUGAUGUGAUAUAUAUUAUGCUGCACUUGUGAUAUAUGAACCUCGUUUGUGCUGCACUUGUGAUAUAUGAACCUUGAUUAUAUUUUGUGCUUACUUGGUUAUUAUUUUUAUAUAUGAACCUUGAUUAUAUUUUGUGCUUACUUGGUUAUUAUUUUUUUUCUGAUAUAUGCUAUGCCUAUGAUUGUGUUAUAUACUUGUUAAAUAUAUGCAUAUAUUUAGGGGGAGUAUUAUACUCUUUUGCUCUCUACUCAUUUGAAUAUUAUCACAUUAUUUGUCAUCAUCAAAAAGGGGGAGAUUGUUGGCCUAGUGGCCCUAAUCUUUUAUUAGAUUUUAAUGAUAACAAAUAAUUACGAUUAUUGGACUAAUUCUUUAUCUUGAGUUUUUGUGUUUUAGAUCUUUAUAUCUUAAAAAAGGACUCAAGAUGGGCAAUCUUCUAGCACCGAGCCUCACCACUUGAAGCUAUAUCUGCUUCCUUUAUCAAAAAGACAAACUCACUCUCUCUAUUCUUUAUUUGAUGCUCUAUUAGAGUGAAAAAUUUUGAGCUAAGUUUAAAACUAUUCAUCUUAUCACCUUAUAGACCACUUAAACAUUUUCUAAAUUUUGAUUAGGUGCAUAGGAUUUUUAAAUAUUCAAAAAAACUGUUCAAAUUCUGUGUUCUGUCAAGUUGCGAUUUCUGGACCCUGUUCCGGGCGCCCUAAAGUGGAUCCGAAUCUCAUGAGAUUUUUUGGAUCCUGCCUGUUUGUUGUUCGAGUGGUCCAGAAACUUCUUUACCGGAUAUGGUCGCCCGAAUUUCAGUUUAGGGUUACCGAAAGUGUUUGACUUGACAGGUUGCAUAUCAGCCCAAAAAGUUCUGACGCAGGUGGCGCGCGCGUUGAAAAUCUGGGCACCCACAUCUUCUGGAAGCCCAAAAUGAUCCCGAAUCUACGAAAAUUCGGCUGUCAGAAAAAGUUGUCUUGUAAGGACUGAGAUUUUUGCAGAGUAGCUAAACUCUCAAUUGACGAUGUUUUUGUAUGUAAUUUAAUUACAAAGGUACUCAUCAAGUUUCGGGAGAAAACAAGUUAAAUCGGAGAUUCUACGUGAUUUCCAAGUUUCACUUAAAGUGAAUAGUAACUCGGUUUUCCGGAAAAGCCACGGUGUGAAGUUGGCUUCAGGCUCGUACCAGACUCUGUUCAUAGCAAUCCAAUAGCUCGUUUCGACCGGUUCAAUUAUUUUGGAACUAAUGGCGCUGACGGAUUUUGAGUUUGACGCACGGAUUUCGAGAAAAUCUGAAAAUACGUGUCUUAUAUGUAUUUUGUGUGUAGUUUCUUUUGUUGUAGAGGUGGAUCAAGUUUCGUCGCGAAUCCGUGAUCAAUCGAGGCGAAACGAAAUCGUAACUUUGUUGUUUCUUUUGUGCUGAUCGCACUGGUGCGAUCCGUUCGCAAAUCUGACGGACGGAUCUGCGGAGAUCGCACUUUGAUCGAGGAGAGGUCGGCGAUGGCAAAAAGGUAUUUUUGCAAAUGCCGCGACAUUUUAUGUACCGUUUUGCGUGAGAUCGCACGUGGAGGGCUACUCGUGUGUUUUACACGCAUUGUGGAGGACUUAGUUUAAAAUAUUGAGUUUUCGUGGGUCUUUCCACAAUUUGAGUUUUAUAUAUAUAUUUGGUUCCUAGGGUUUCUACUAGAAACCCUAACCCUAGCCACCUAAUUAGCCCUCAGCCACCUUCGCCUCGCUCCCCUACCCUAGCCGCUCACCCCGACUGCCGCUGGCUGAACCCCGGCCGCCGCCGAGCCAUCAUCUUCCUCUCUCUUCAUCUCUCUCCAUCUCUCUCUUUCUCUCGGGUUAGAGCCAGGACGAGGCUGCAUGGCCUCCAGGCCCUUCGCCGGCGUCGCCCCGACCCCGUCGGAGUGUUCCCCGUCGGCCACCGCCACCCCGAGCGCCGCCGCCGCUGUCCUGUAGCCGCCUAUAGCCUUCUAGCCCGAGCCCAGGCCGAGGCAAGCCUGCGUCCCUUUCCUCUGCGCCGCCGCCACCGUGGACCACCCCGGCCGACUUCCCGGAGCCCCGGCGUACCUCCCCGCCGACCGCUGCCGCCCCGGAGCGCCGCCGCGCCGCGCUAAAGCCGCCUCAGGCAGCUAGAGCGAGCACAGGCCGAGGUCAGCUCGUAGCUUCCUCCUCGCGCCGCCGCCGCUCGGGCUCGCACCCGAGGCACCCCUCCGGCCUCCUGAAACCCGCCGCCGCCGCCGCCGUCCCGGAGCUUCCCGACCGCCGCCGUGGCCGCCAUUGCUAUGGAACCCGAGCUUUAGUUCGUGCGGGCUGAGCUUGCUCCACCGACAUCGCCGCAGCUCCCCGCCGCCAACUGAGGUGAGCCUCGUACUCCUUACCUCCCCCGCACCCAUCCCUGUCCAGCGCGUGCCUCGCCGUGCCGCUGGAAGCCGGCCGGCGCAAGUUUGAUCCGGCCAAGCCCGAAUUAGGGCUUAGUUGAGUGGUUUUCUGUUGUGAGCUUCCCGAGCCUCCCCUUUCUCUACGGAAGGGAGCACGAUGAUCAUGGAAAAUUUCUGAUCAUCGUGCUCACCUUGGUUUCUGUCGGGAAGGCCCCGUUCCACUGUUUCGGCGAUGUCGACCCUAUAGAGCCUUUUUGGCUACGAUUUCUAGUUUGCGCGCGUUUCUCCGACGAUUCGAAGCUGUCCUGAUGCUUCCGGAGGUGAGCACGGUGAUCUUCGGUCAGUGCCGAUCACAGUGCUCACCUCACUUUGAAUCAACAGAGUCCGGUUAGUCCUGUUCGGUGCGAUUUUCCCCGACUGCGCGUUGUUCGCAGAACUUCGGGUUGCUCCCGCGCCACCCACAGUGAGCCGAUGUGCUCCGGACCAUGAGCACGGCCUCCGGCACAUAGAGACCUGUUGGUACGUGUCUCGGUGGACCUUGAAAGUCCUCGGUUUGCAUGAACGAGCCAUGUUAUCGCCCGAUUUACAUAAAAUAUUAGGAUUUUAUGUAAAUACAAGGGCUUUUGUGCAAUUGUGCACCUUGUAGCUACUGUGGGCAGUGUGUAGGCAUGUGUGGUGACCUCUGGACUGAUUGUCCAUGAUUCGUUAGCUUUUGCGGAAAUCGAAGAGUCGAUUUCAGUGCGUUUUUCGGCGAAAUCCGCCGAAAAAAUGCGGUUUCGGUUCGGAUUUCUUCCGACGUGGUUUGGUUGUCCUGUAAAUUGUCGCUGAGCCUUGUUGGCUGGUCACCAUCAUCACAUUGUGGGUUCGGUGAUGACGAGUGAGCGACGGUGGGUUCCGGUGUCGAAAUAGACACUUCCGGGAAUCCGGAUUCGAACAAUUAUCCAACGAUAAUUAUUGAGUUGUGUUACAUUGUGUUUCCUGCCAAGACAUUAAAAUUGGUGUGUUUUGUGGCAGCGGGUGACUCGUGGUACGAGUCGGUGAGUUUUGGGACACUUAGUGGGUCCCGACGGCGUCCCAGUGUGGUUCUCGGGACUUUCGGUGAGUUACGGUGAUUGGUUUUGGGAAACUGAUUACAGGGAUCUUUUGUGGAGGUUUGUGAGAUUGUGUACUUCAGGUUAGUGGGUUGGAUACUGACUUAGUGGAUCUUCGUAGGUCCGGUCGACUUGUGUGCAUCCAGGUUUUCCGACGCGACAGUGACAGGUGGGUACUUCGAUCCGAUGCUGGUACAGUGGUGCACGCUCGGUGAUGGUUUCUUACCCUUACUCUUCUGUUGUUACUAUUGCAUAGUAUAUUUUGAGCCUUGCACCCAUGAUUAUUCCAGUAUACUCUACUCGUUGUUUGCAUGCUUAGUAUUCUUAGUAGGAGUAGAGUAGUUCUAUAUAUAUGCAUAUCUGUUGAUCUGGUUGAUCGUGGUUCGGCGUGGUACGCCCUUGUUUCUGGCUUCGGCCUAGGCACCGGCUUCAACCGGUUUUUAUAUUGAGCAUACCAGCAUGACUUAGUCACAGCACUUGGGGGUAUUCAUGACACCAGGUCGGUUUUGCCACCGACCGGAGGUGUGCUUACCCUGAUGGGUCGUCCUGUCGGGCGGGUGAAUCAGGUUAGUGCAGAUCAGUGACAGGCAGCGCUUGAGGUCUGCAGACCAAUAUAGCAGGCACCAGAUUUGGUACAGUUUUGGUUUGGUUACCUUGAGGCAUACUCAGCUUUGCAUUUCUUACAGUAGCAGUUUUAUUUAUUGCUCAUUUAUCUGUUAUAGCUACUGUAGUUUCUUCGUAUCAGCAUCUGUAUCUGUUUACCAUAUUGUUAUAUAUCUCUUCCUGAUCCGGUGAGUACUCCUCGCCUUCAUCGGCUUGCGGUACCCACUGGGAGGGGAGACAUGUUUACAUGUUCUCACCUCCCCCACCAUUUUUCAGGUAUUGCGGCUGGUGAGAUAUGAGACGAGACGUGAGACGCGUUCGUAGUGGUCGCUAGAGCUUCCGACCCGGCUUGUUGGUUUAGUUCCUACCCUGUUUACUUGUGUUAUUAAUAGCUUUGAUAUUUCAUGGUUCAGUUGGUUUAUGUUAUUCGAAUUCAUGUGGUUUUGAAUGAACUAUAGAACUUGUGGAUUUUGUGAAAAGGGAAAACUAGUUUUCUACCCCUCGUGGUAGCGUUUUAAAAAGAAAAGGUUUUCGUGUAGGAAACAGCUUUCAAAACAGUUUUUCUUGUGGUUUUUAUGUUUUAACACUGAAUGGUAAAUAUCGGGUGAAUGGCGAAUGAAUGUUGAGAAUGGUCUAUUCAUGUAUUGUGGUUGUAUCCUAGUUAUACUUUGUUGGGACAUCUUGUACUUGUGCGACACCGUACAAAUACAGGGGAGACUCUGUCUGUGUGAACAGUGGAUUCCCUGUAUUUGUAGCGGAUCUGGCAUACCGUGGGUUCAGGUUUUCAAAAAAAAAAUUUUCGAUGUAUUUUUAACCUAAAGGGACCCCGGGGCGUGACAUGUCCCUCGAGAUCUGGGCGCCCAUAAUUUCUGACGGCCCAAAUCUAGAGGAAGCGGCGCGUGUCAGAAAAUGCUGUUCCUCGUGUUCUGGGCGCCCACAACUUUUGACGGCCCGAACAUACAAAGUCAAGAAAAGAGGCGCACGUGGUCUGACAGGCAGCUGGCGUGCACAACUUCUGGGCGCCUUGAAACAGGUUUAGGGUGCCCAAAAGUACAACGGACAAAAGCUGCCCGAGGCUAUAAAUAGAUGGUAUUGAGGCCUUUCUCAGCAGCAACUAGAUAGUUUAUUUUGAGCUUAAAAAUUCAGUUUCUCUAAUACUCUUAGUUCUCAAUUCUCUCUCUAUGCUUGAGUGAAAUUUAUAGUGAGUUUAAUCUUGUAAAAAGAGAGAAAAUCAAAGUCUUGAAGCUUGAAAAGAAGGAGUUGGUGUGAAGGCUUGGUGCUUACCCGCAAAAGCAUCAUCUAGUGGAGAUCCAACAUUCUCUAGUAUUGAGAAGUUGGCGGGGACGUAGGCAAAGUGCCGAAUCUCGAAACAAAUCGAUUGUGUGCUUUUGAGUUUGCAUUUCUUUAAACUUCUCACUUUUAUUUGCAUCGGAUCUUUAAUUUGCUUGAUUAUUUGGAUUUUUAUUUUAGAAACCCAAUUCACCCCCCUCUUAGGUUGCCAUUUUGAUCCUCACAUGUAAAUAAUUUUUAAAAUUUAUGAAAUUUAGUUUCUAGAUAUUUCAAAUACUCUAGAUCAACUUCAACGGCUCCGAUCAUCGAUUCGAAAUCUCGAUCAUCAAGAACGACUUGAUAGGACAAGUGCUCAUAUCCUAUUAAUAUUAUCUUAUUUUGAGCCUGAAUACAGCCCUAACCCUAACCUAACCCGAACCCAACCCGAUACUCCACCGCAAUCCUCGACCCCGGCGAUCUGACCCGAGCCCUCGGUGGUGCCACUGCUCGAUUCGGUGCUCCAAUCCACUGGUAAGAGCUCUCGAUCUAGAACCCUCUCAGUAUAGGGAAAUUCUCAUCAAGUUCUUGGUAGAUUUAGCUCUGCAGUGUUACUUGAAUUUUCGGUGUCAUCGUCUUCUAUUGACUCUACUGCUGUUGCAUUUGAUUUUUAGGUUAAUUUGGUAAAUUCGAGAAGUUAUGCAGAGAUUAAGUUCCUCUUGAUAUUGUUUAUGUGCUAAUAGAAUAAAAAGAAAAUGAUAGCAUAAUUAUAAAUGUAACUUAGGUCAAAAGAUUAUUCUAAGUAUUGUAUAUCACAUCCAACUAUAUAUUCAGAGUUUCAUUUCAAGCCUAAAAAAAAAAAAAAAAAAAACUCUUUGCACUUCCUGAAUGGUGAUAGAACAAGUUUACUGUAAUUAGGAGCUAUAUAUAUGGUACUAGAAUUUAGUGAAAUGUCUUUGAAUUUCGUUCUCUUAUGGUCAAUUAUCUUGAACUUGUAUGUUUCCGAAUGGGAAAACAACAAGGUUUGCUGUGAUAUCUGCAUAGCAAGCUUCUUCUAUGCAUGUGGUAGAAAUUUUCUCCUCAUCAAGUUGCUAAUUUUUUUUUUUUUUUUAUCGACUAUUUAUAGAUCCAUCUUAUAAAUUCUGAAAGUUUUGAUUAUGUGUUAGGACAUAAUUAGCAUAAUUUAGCUAGCUGAACCCAGGGCAUUAAUUUGAUUUUAUUGUUAUCAUGUUGAACAUAGUUAAUGAAAGAUAGCCCCUGUAAAAUCUAGCUAGUUUGAGAUACUAAUAAAGGGACAGGAUGUUGUUUAUGUAGCCUAUUGAGUCGAUUGGUGGCAUUAGCGGUUCCUUUGCAGCUUGAGACGUCAAAUUGUGUAGGUUUAGGCGAAUUUUUAAUCUGCAAUGCAAUUCAGGUUUGCGCAGUGCGUACAAUGGCUGUAAACGCCUCUUGAGUUCUUAGUUGUCCCAGAACGAUUAUAAGUACGUACUCCUACAUAAAUUGCAUAAUUGCCAUGCUGCUUUUUGAUUAAACUUACAAUAUUUAUCUGUAUUCCUAAGUGUUCUGGUUUGAUUAGUUUCAUUCUAGUGCUAUUUAUGCUUUGGAAUUUAUUCUUCAGCAUUUCUGUGGCUUCUUUCAAGAGGACUUCUGAGCUCUCGCUUACUGGCUGUGACCAUUUGAUGCACUGUUUUUGUUCAACUAAUUGGAGUCCAUAUUAUUUUGAAGGUCGACUUGGAUCUUGGAAAUUAUGAGAGGUUUCUAUAUAUCAAACUUACUCGAGAUAACAAUAUAUAUCACCACUGUAAAAGAUCUACCAGGGGAGUUAAUUAGUUUGAUUCUAAUCCUGAAAAUUUUUACAAAAUUAGCGGAAUUAAUUUGUUACUUCCAAGUUAUUUCCACAGUCUUUGAUUGCCAUUUUUUUGAAGGAGGCGUUCACGAGAUCGAAGUUACUUUUAGAACCUUCCAUUAAUAUCAAAAAAUUCAAAAGAAAAAAAAAAUUAUAUAAACCUCCAUGUGCACUUACAAGUCUGCAUGCCUAUGAUAAAGUGUGGAGAGGUUGUGGGCCGGUGUUAGAAUCUUUAGGAGGUGGAUUAAUUAUGAGGGUAUAUAUAUAUAUGUUUGUGCUAGCUUUCUGUGUUUCUGAACCGCGCAGUUCAAUUUUUCUGGGGGAUACGUUGUAGAACGUAACCUAUGUGGGAAGUUUCUUUUUGUUGGUACUUAGUUGCUUGUAGUUCAAUCAAUUAAUUAUGUAGUGCCUUGUAUUCUAAUUAUGGCUUUUUUCCUUUUGUUUUGUUUUGUUUUGUUUUGUUUUUUUUUUUUUUCACUUCUCAUGGUCUUAUGCAUUUUACUUGUCUAAGAAGUAAUUUGUCCUUGACUGACUUGUUGAUAGUACUAGCGAAUUCACUCGUGCAUUGCGGUACAUCAAUUUCGUAUAAAUAAAUAUAAUUAAAAAAUAAUAUAAAAAUAAACAAAAAUUGAAGAACGGGAUGAACUUUUUUAUUUUUAUUUUUUUCACAUUAGAACAAGAUUAUUAUUAUUAAUAAUUUUUUUCAUGUUUUGAAGUUUUGUAAGAUUCUAUUUAUAUACAAAGGUAACUUCAAUAAAAGAGAAUUAAGGGACUAGUGAACCAUUUAACAAAAUUUAAAAAAUUAAUUAUUAAAAGUUUUUCUUCAAAAUUUUAUGGUUGAUAAAAUUGUUGGGAGAAGGAUGUCGCUGGCGAUUCAAUGUUAUAUAUGCCCAGGUUCAUUCGAUUUUUCUCUUUCUUUUUGCAAUCUAGUGUUCUUUUUUUUUUUUUAGAAAAAAAGUUUCUAGUUUAACCUCAUUUAGAUGGAUUGAAGAAGAAGAAGAAAUAGUUUAAUAAAAGUACGUAGUUACGCGUAAAUUAAGAGAGAGGAAAUUUUUUUUUUUUUUCUCUCUCUCCUCUCCCACUCCUCAACUCUGCGUCUCUAACCCUUUCUGCAUGCAUGCAUGCAUGCAUGCAUGCCUCUCGCUCUCUCUCUCUCUCUCUCUCUGUGCCCCGUCUCCACCCAGGCUCCCCCAAUCUCUCUACCGCUCUCCACCCUCACUGAUCAUCACUCUCUCCUCACGUACGGACACACACACACACACACACAUGUACAUGUACACACUCUCCGCGCGUGCCCUGGCCUCGUCGAUCCAAGAAGCCUCAUGAAGCAAAUCUUGGCGGCAAAUCGAGGGGAGAGGAGGGGACACGUGGCCUCUAGAAUGGGGAUUCUUCGUAUAUUUCUUCUAUAUCUAUCUAUCUAUAAAUAUAGCUAGAGAUAGAUCGAGGUGGUAAUCCUUUCAGUACAGAAGAACACACAGCUCGCUUGCUAAUUUAAUAAAUAAUUAAACCUUCAUGCAUGAAGUCUUUCUAAAUCCGGCAACAACUUAAUUUUGUACAAAACCACUAAUGUACGUAGCUUGCUGAUAUCAAUUUAUAACUAAACUAAUUGAGGCAUCGAAUAAUUAAGCUAGGAACGUUGUUUGUGCUGUUUGUGUAAGACUUAAUUAAUGAAUUGCCCUUUUAGUUUGGAUUAUGACGGGAAAGUUGUAGUGCGCAUGUUAUUUUAGUUUAAUGACGAGGGAUUCCUCAAACUCUUCACUAAUUAAGCAGCCCCAUCGAUAGCCAUCUUCCUCAAUUUAUUUAUUAGUGGACGAGGGACAAAAGACUUCCCCAAUUUUAUUUCUUAGUGCGUGGACGAGGGACAAAGGCCCCCGGCCCCCACCCCUGGCUAUAAAUACCCGUACACAUAGGUAUUCAAACACUNCUCUCUCUCUCUCUCUCCCCCCCCUAUCUCUCCUCCCCCCGCCUACUCAAGCAUAGCUAUGUCCACAAUAAUGAGCUUUCUGGUUUCGACCAGCAUUGACCAAGAGCACUUGAUAGAAAGUUCCCCCAAAAUAGGAAUCACUAUCGGCAUAAAUGUGGGGAUGACGGUUCAAGGGAUGAUUGUCGCUACGGCAAUCAGCCUACUUAUCUACUGCAUAUGGAAAAGGAGGCGGUCUGGCCCCCGCAGGAGCAACAUAGGGUCCACGGCCUCAGGCGUACUAGAGGGUCGCCUCGCUGCCCAUGGCGACAUUGAGUCGGUAGUCGCCUCAGGCGUACUAGAGGGCCGCCUCGCUGCGCAAAUGAUCGAUCAAUAUUAGUAUUUAUUAUUUGGUAUGUUAGCUAUCUAUUUAUAUACUUUAUUUUGAGUUUGUAAAAAUUUUGCAUAUAAGCAUAUAUAUUUUACUCUUAUGUUUAAAAGUCUCCUUGCGAUAGUAUUUAGUAACCGCAACCCCCAUCGAUGUAUUUUUUUUUUUAAUAGUUUAACAACUAUUAUAGUCACUGCGUUUGCAUUUUUUAUUAUAUAACAAAUCAUUUGGCAUAUAUAUAUGUCGGUGUUUCCUUAAAAAAAAAGACCGAGUUACGCAAAAAGAAUAUUUGAUUGCUGGAUGGUUUUGAAUCUUUCGACCUCUAGGUACAGGUGAUUUCUAAGAUUAACCCAUAUUUGUCAACACCAUAUAUCCAAAGAUGCUAACCAUAUAUAUAUAUAUAUAUACAUUUAUCAAGUAUCCUCAGAUGCAUCAGUUUUAUCUAUAUCUGAAAAGCAAAAUAUUUUACACCGACGUAUCAUUACCUCGAAACAUGCCUCAAAGCAGUCAUAAUUCAGUUCUAGCCAAUCAAUUCACAUUCAGCAGAGAAACAACGACUGGUACGUAACAUGAAUAACUUUAAAAGAUCGAAACAACAAGGCUUAAUACAGGGCAUUCCAUUGAUGCACCUCUAACUGCAAGGCUCCAAUCUCCCUCUCGAUACCUGUAAUUUGAUUUAACGCAUAAUUACGGCAGUGAACAUAAACAAAGAUUAAUCACUAAUAAUCACCAUCAUAUCAUUUGUAUAUAUGAUUGAAUCCAUUUCCAGCAAUAACCUCAAAUGUUUCAAAACAUAAUUUUCCAAAUGAGGCAGCAUUAAGGAAUCCAGCAUUUUUGAACAAAUAUAAAGAGUAAAGAUUGAAUAGCUAACCAACUUAGAGAUUCAGCCCUAUAAAGCGAUUAUAUAUGAAUACUAAUUGGACACACGUGACUCAUGCUAGGGUUUCUUUUAUUUAUUUGUUUUUUUUAUGACAAGUAACUCAUGCUUCUAAGAUCAAAGAGAUGUGAACAAAAACAAAUUAAAUCUACUUAAAAAAACAAAAAUAACGAAUUAAAAUUAACUACUCGUGAUCUGAUACCUCUUGUAGCAUGCGACACCUCCAGUUUACUACUCCGAAGCGCCUCUGUACUCGCACCAAAUUGAAAUCUCAUCACACGCAUAAACAAAAAAGACUAAAUCUAAUAAUCGAAAACACGUACGCAAGUGAAGUCAUCCGAUGAUGCAAAAACUAAAAUCCCGUAAAUUUUUCCAAAAAAAGGUGCAAAUUAAGGCAUAAUUAACCAUCGACCGAACAAAUUCGGAUUGAAUACGAUUUCAGAAUCAAUAAUACGCAACAAUUACGUCGAAAUUACGAGAAUUAGGGCAUAAUUCAUUGAAAAAGUUGCGGUGGGUUUCUUCGCAAAUAGACUCAUCUCUUGUCCAGAGAAGGAACGAGCGAGAUCGAGAGAUGGAGAGGAGAGAGAUCGAGGUAUGAUGUGAUAAAUCCUAAGAAAUUAAGCUUAAAUUGAUCGAAAAAUAAUAUAUGAUAUAAUAAUAUAUAAAUAAAUAUAUUUCUAAUGUGAACUCGCAAAUAAAUAAAUAAUAAAUAAAAUAAAAGAUAUUUUUAGCCAAUAUUUUCUCAUGUAAAAAAUAUAUAUUUUUUUAACACUGUUGUUUUGUGUGACUUUUUGAUGACCAGUUUUUUUUUUUAAAUUAUAGAUAUAGAUCACAUCUAUNUUUUUUUUUUCACUGUCUGUGUAUGGUGUGUACACCGCGGUGCACGCAAAACUUUUCUUGUCCCGCCCUUAGGAAAAUGAAAAGAGGGCCACGAUCUGCUGCAAACCAGUGGCUGUACUCGGUGCAUAUUUAGGAUUGUGAACCGCGCAUGUUUCAGCCGUUCACUUCAUAGGUGGAGACUAAGUCGACGGUGCAGAUUUAAACAUGGAAUGCAUGACAUGAACGGUUGAUAGAUUGGGUGGUGCACGAGUGUACGGAUGCAUCAGGUGCAGGCGAUAGUGGUCAACCAAAUUUUAACUGCUAUAUUUGACCUAAAUAGUUGGUGAUGAAGAAGAAGAAUAUUUUGUAUUUUUUUAAAAUGAAAAAUAUUUUGGACAACAUUUUUAUACUGUGCGCAGAAUUUUUUUUUCGCACAAAAUAAUAUAUUUCCAUCUAAUAGCAAAGAUGUAUUAUGUUGCUUAUAGUGAAGUUAUCCGCGUACUACGGCGGGCUAAUACUAUAAAAGAUAAAAGAUUGGAAAAGUUAAAAAUUCUAAAAUUUUUUAAAACAUCAAUAAAUACAAACUAAAAAUAUAAAACAGAUAUAUAUAAAUAUAGCAAAACUUAUAAUAGAUACGUGACAAUAAUGAAAGAAGUGGUAAUAGAGUUGCUACUGCAUACGCACCUUGAUCGUGCUGCCGAGAUCGGAGAGGCGAUUUUCGUUCUCUGCGUUGCCACCACGGCCAUUGUCGGCGUCGAGCUUCUCCUUCGUGACAGCCACGUCGAUGCCGUACGUAUCUCCCCACACCUACCGCUUCUUCCCCCUCAUUGAAUCCAAAUCCAUAGCACUUCACUUCGCCGCGCAGCGCAAUCCUUGAAACCCAAAUUUCAACCCUACACAAUUUUAAAAAAUAAUAAAAAAAUAUAAAAAAAUAUAAAAAAUGAACCAUUCUUAUGCACCAAAAAAAAAGCGAUAAAAAAGAGUAUGAAGAAAUUUUAUUUUACUCUUUUUUAAUUUUAAGCGAUUUGUUUAGAUAAAAUUGAUUAUAUAAAUACAUUAAUUAGAAAGUUGACGGGUAGGAAGACGAAGCAUCAGGCAGUUGGAAGGGCGUGAAGGAGGAAUUGCCAUGUCGCAAAUUCUAUGUAAAAUAAUGUAUAGAAAUAUAGAUGCACCAAAAAAAAGUAAAAAGAAAACAAUGUGAUAAAAAAGAGUAUGAAGAAAUUUUAUUUUACUCAUUUUUUUUAAAAGUGAUUUGUUUAGAUAAAAUUGAUUAUGUAAAUACAUUAAUUAGAAAGUGUACGGGUGGGAAGACGAAGCAUCAGGGAGUGGGAAUGUAGCACACUGAACUUUAGCAAAUUGUAAGGUUUUAGCGUUGGAAUAGUAUUUUUUGAUAUUCCCGAAAUUCUUGAGGAUCGUUGACUGUGUUCCGACCUGCUACUCGCGUCUUGAGAAGCGAGGUUGAGUACUUAGCACCAAAACCUCCAAAUUGUAGGUUUUGAGGUGCUGGGUACCGGUACCAGAGAAGGGGUAUUGGAAUCACGUCGCGUAACCGAGAGGGGUGCUCUCGGGUUUGAGCCCUGCGAGGCAGAGUACCGGUACUGCAUUGCCCGAGUACCAGUACUGGACCUGGUACCGGUACUGCAUCGAGCGGGUACUGGUACCCUGUGCUUUAUUCGCUUGACAGAGGUUCGGGUUUGCACGUUCGACUGCGGGUGCUGAUACUCCAGCCUGCGUACCAGUACGCAAUGCAGUCCGCAGACUGCAUAUUUUUCAGGAGUCUUUUUGAGAUUGUAGCAUCUCUAUAAAUAACCCAUACCCUUUAGAGGGGUUCCCUGUGCUGGAACCAGAGGAGAAGAGGUAGAGAGCUCCUCCCCUUCCUCUCUUUGAUUUUCCUUCUCUUUUUGUAUGAUUUUUGGUGGUUUGAUCUCCUCUUUUUGUUUCUUUUUCAUGGGUGUUGCUCCUUGGACCAUGGAAAAGCUUUGGAGUGAGGGAUUUAAGCAUGUUUGAGGAAAGAUCUCCAACCCUAUCAUCUUCUAGCUUGGUUUGGAGCUUGGGAAAAUGUUAGUAACAUUUCUACUACUUGUGAUUGUGGUUUUACUUGAGUUUUGGGAAGAAACACUAGUUAUGAUAAAACUAGGAUUUUAUUCCUUUGAGGUCAAAUUGAUGGGUGUAGAACUCUCUUCUAGGUUGGAUUAGAAGUGUUCUAACUCUCAUUUGGAUUAGAAAUAUUCUUGACAUCCUUACCUUUACCUUUUUGCUUAUUUUUCAAAGCAUAACAAUCCUUUCUCACAUGACCCGUCUUCUUGCAAUACUAACAAGUAAGUUUUCUACCUUGUGAUUUUGAUAUUCUUUUACUUUGAGAUCUUCUCUUUGUGUUGGAAUAUUGGCCUCGCUUCGGCGACCUUCCUCUUUCAUUAAUAGUUAGUGCUUGACUCAAAUCACUAGACAAUUGAUUUGUAGCUUUACGAGUUUCCUCAUUCAACAAUGAAGCAACAGUAUUAUUCAACUUGAAUUUGUUCCCCAUUGUGUUCGCCACCAUCGUAACAAGAGUACCCCAACUUGAAGGUAAAGAACUCAAAAGUAGUAAACAAAGGACUUCGUCAUCAAGGUUAAUUUUGAGAGACUUCAAUUGUGCCGCAAUAGAGUUGAACUCACUCACAUGCUUACGAAUAGUAGAACCUUCUUGCAUCUUCAAGAGAAAGAGUCGCUUCAUUGCAUGCAUCUUGUUCACACUCGAAGGUUGCUCAAACGAUUGCUCCAAAGUCUCCCACAAUUCGGAUGCGGUCUUGCAUUGAUAGACAUCAAACAAGAUCAAUGAUGAAAUGCAUGGUCUAAUCGUCGCCAAACAUUUUUGGUCAAGUAUAUCCCAUUCAUGAUUAUCCAUACUAGUGGGCUUUGCACCUUUUCCCAAUAUUGGUAAAUCAAGCUAUUUUGCAACCAAAUAAUCCUCUAUCAUAAUUUUCCAUAUAGGCCAAUUGCUCUCAUUCAACUUCUCAAAUUUCAUAGCUUUCUCCAUUUGAAAAAUGAGUGAAUAAAUAUAAAUGAAUACUUAGAUAGCCACCAAUCAAGCUCUGAUACCAAUUAUUGUUAAAUGAGGUGAAAAAUAUUGAUGGCAAUUUCACAAACACUUGGUAGGCAAUUUCACAAUCCACUCUCUACAAGCAUCCAAUUAAGAGCAAUCACAAGAGCAAUAACAAAGUAAAUCGAAUCACAAGGACACAAGGAUUUACGUGGUUCGGCUAUGCCUACAUAUAUCCACGGGAGAACAAUGCAAAAUAAACUUCCACUAUAAAUUUAAAAAUUACAAGAGAGAUUCAAAUGGGAGAAAUAUCAUCUUAACUCUAAGGUAUAAAACAGAGCUCCAACAAUCUCUAGCUCUAUCCAAAUAGUGUAAACUACACCUCACAAGAUAGAUCUCACCUCCUUCUUGAUAGAACUAAGAUUAAAAUCAACUCUAGGGUUUUCUCUCUUUUCUCCGACUUCUUUUUUCACUCUUUACUUUUCUCUCUUAUUCUAAUAUCCCACUUUAGCUCCCUAAGAGAAAAGGCUAACAAUAUAGGCCUUUGGAUCAAAAGAAUCAUGAUCCAAAGGCUUACAAAUAGAGGGACACAUACAUGAUAAGAAAAUAUAGAAAGAGAAGAUUUUGACUUCACCAAAUUACAUAGCUUAAAUAGCAAGGCCCAAAUAACAAAUAGACCCAAUGUAAUUAGCUCAACAAAAGCUUAUCACAACUCACACUACCGGCACAAAAAAUUUUGUACGUCUAAAUCAUGAUGAGGUAUAUAUAUUUUUUUGAAAUACACAAGCUAAAUAUGUGUUAUUUAUUAUAUUAUUACUGUUUAGCAUAGUGCAGAAAGAGGAGUGAAAGAGCUUUCUAAAGUAGAACUUUUCAUGUUAGUCCACACUAAAAAGAACAAAGAACCAAUGAAUAAAGUAUCAAGUGAUCACAUUUUGGGUAUGUUUAGUUCGAAGUCGGAAUCGAAAUUAGAAUCGAAAUCGAAAUAAGCUAGAAUCGGAAUCAGAAUGACUCAUUGCCUAAUUCUGUUAGGUUCAUCACCUGAAUCGGAAUUGGAAUAAAUCAUUCCCAUUGUCAGUGUUUGAAUUCAUAAAUUUAAUUUAAAUUUUAAAUAAAAUUUGAAUAAAAUUUUAUAUAAAUUAAAAUUUAAUUUAAUUUAAAUUCAUAGGUUAAUUUGAAAUACUUGAUGAAAUUUUAAUUUUUAAUUCAAAUUCAAAUUAAAAUUUAAAAUUAUAUAUUUAAUUUCUAAAUUUAAACUUAUAGUUUAAUUAAAAAAAUUGAAAAAAUAAAUUUAAUCUGAAUAAAUAUCCAUUCUGUUCAGAGUCAACUUCCAAUUAGGAGGCCGAAUUGGAAAAAAGGGUGAUUGUGGGAUUCCCACUACACUCGGGAAUCAGAAUCGGAAUGGGACUCCUGCUUACCAAACACCGAUAAACGAAUUUGUCCAUUCCGAUUUCGAUUCCAAGGUGAAAAAAAGAGCGAACCAAACACGCCCUAUAUAGAUUGACAAAUAUUUAUCAUAUUUUUAUUUUCUAAUAUAUUUUAUUGUUAACUGUAUUGUAAUAUAAUGUCAUUUGUAGAAAUGGAUAAGUGAGUUUCAAAAUAAAUUAUUGGAAGAUAACAAAGAAAACCUAAGAUAUUUUUUUCCAAGUAUUUGGAAAAGAGAAAUAUGGAUGCAUGGGUGGUUUGCCGUUUAGGGCCUGUUCCCUCUAAAUUAUUUAGACUAAAGCAUACUAAUCAAACAAACUUACGGAUGAUUAGAGAUGCUAGAAUUGAAGCUAGAAUUGAAGCUGAUAAGAAAAAUGAUAUGCUCAACAAGAAAAUUCACAACAUGGAAGAAAAAUAUAAAAAAUGAUGAAAAUUUUUUGACAAUGAGGAAAACUAUAAGAAAGUUAUGGCCAGUAUUUACUAGUAUGCAGCAACUUAAGACAAGUGAACCCCACUUGAUGAUCUACAUACUUCACAAUCCGACAAUUGAAAGAAAUGACAUGUAUUUUAAAAUCAGUUAUAUAUUUAUAUCUUUAUUAUCUUAAUAUUAUGAUAAUAAAUUUUUUUGCAUAUAUAAAAUUAUGAAAAUUAAGGUUCUCUCCAAAAAAAAUUUAAAAUAAGAAAUUGAAUUAUCUUCUUCCAAUCAUCAUGUUCCACCACUUCAUGUAUAUAAAUGUAUACAAUAUGAUAAAAUAUAUUUUUUUGCUUAUAUAUCUAUUCAAAUUAUUACUGUCGUUGAAUAAAGAUGUUUAAAAGUCGAUAUUUAAAAGUGGAUUCUGUUUACAGGAAUCUAAAGUGGAUUCUGUGUACAAGAAUCUAAAGUGGCGAUCGUCUGUUUACAAGAAUCUAAAGUGGAUUCUGUGUCCAGAUCUUUUCUCCGGUCUUGUUGCGGUUCAAAUUUCGAUAGAUGCCACCUUAUUCCUGCUUGUGGAGCCUCUGGUGGUUUAAUUACUUGUUGAAAUUCCAAAUACUUCUUAUGUAAGGAGGUAAUAGUUCGUGAGUACUCGCUUACCCUUAAUUUGAAGCAUUUCGCCAGCGGAAAGAGCUUUUACAUUUCAAAUGUGUACGGGCCACCAACAUGGGACGGAAAAGAAGAGUUUUGUGCGGAACUUCUCUCUCUCAGCGGGAUUUGCUUCAGCAACUGGGUCAUUUGCGGGGAUUUCAACCUCACCAGAAACCAAGCAGAACGAACUGGAAAUCCGUGGAGUACUAGAGCGAUGGACAUGUUCUCAGACCUCAUAUCGAAUCUCGAACUCAUCGAUCUGCCCAUCGCUAAUCAAAAAUUCACUUGGUCAAUUAUGCAACGUUCACCAACACUGGCCAAGUUAGAUAGAUUUCUUGUCUCGACGGAAUGGGACCAAAUCUUCCCGCACUGCAGGGUAUCUGCGCUCCCUAGGAUUACCUCCGAUCACACCCCGUUACUUCUCUCUACAGGGACGACGCCAACUUUGCAGAGAUUUCGGUUUGAGAAGGUCUGGCUUACUAAGGAGGACUUCUCCAACAAAGUACCAAUCUGGUGGAACGAAGUCACCGAUAAGAAGUCGGCUAUACUCACUUUAACAGCAAAACUCAGACACUGCAGAACUAGGAUGAAAGAAUGGUGUAAGACGAAUUUUUAUAGUAUAUCCAACGCCAUUAGGUGUCUUCAGGAGGAAAUCCGAAGUAUUGACCUAUUGGAGGAACAUAAUAUAUUGACUCAGGAAUUUCGGGAUAAACGGGUCGACCUUAAAUCACAACUUCAACUCAUCCUUAUGGAGGAAGAAAUUCUCUAGAAAACGAGAGUGAAACAGCACUGGCUUAAGGAAGGUGACAAUAACAAUAAAUUCUUUCACGUGGUGGCCAACGGUCGAAAGCGCAGUAAUGCGAUAGAGUCUAUUGUAGACGCCAUUGGAAGACAAAUCAACAAUGACGUUCAAAUGAGAUCCUAUUUUUUUCAUUCCUUUAAAUGACUUUUUGGGAGGGUGGAAGAAGAGCCGUCAUCUUUUGGAGAUUGGAGCGACCUGUAUCGGGCAGACUUCCUAUCCGACCCGGACUCCCUUACUAGCCCCUUUACACUAGACGAAGUUAAGAAGGCCACAUUCCAAUUGGGGAGUGACAAGGCCCCCGGACUCGAUGGAUUUUCUCUUAUAUUUUUCAACAUUUCUGGGAGACGGUUAAGGAGAAUAUUUUAAAUAUCUUCAGAGAUCUCCAAGAUAAUGCUCUCGACACGACCCCAAUAGACUAUUCAUACGUGUGUCUAAUUCCUAAAAAGGAAGGAGCGAGUCAAGUUAAUGACUUCCGACCGAUUAGUCUCAUUAAUGGAAUUCAAAAGAUCAUCUCUAAAGUGCUUGCAAACAGACUGGCGCCCAUUUUACCGAAGACUAUUGCUCCAUCACAAUCGGCCUUUCUGAAAGAUCGACUACUAGCUGACUCUUUUGUCACUGCAAGUGAACUUCUCAACUGGUGCGCAAAAUCCGAUAAGGAGUGCGUUAGUAUUAAGGUUGACUUCGAGAAAGCUUAUGACAAUGUUAGUUGGAAUUUCCUGCAAAGCAUACUGAGGUGGCUUGGGUUCAGCGACAAAUGGUGGGCCUGGAUCAAACAAUGUAUCGGUAACGCUAAACUCGCUAUCUUAGUAAAUGGCUCGUUGUUUUCCCGGAAAAAAAAAAUGGUGUGAUCGGAAAACCGAGAAAAAUGUAAAUAAAUAAAUAAGAAUGGGGGAGUGGAGAUUUAUUAAGGGGUGCAGCUUUUUCUUCCCCUUUUUUUUUUUUUUACUUUUGACUACACAUUUCUUAAAAGCAAGAUAAGAAAUAUAUAGCAUAAAAAUAACAAUAACCAGAGAUAAAAGAGUUCAUGCUUUUCAGAUACCCGCAGGUACCCGAUUAAUUGCGCCCUUUACACUAAGGCCACCUCCGAUUAAGCUGGUCAAAAUACCCUUUUCUAAAUAAUAAUAAUAUAUAUAUAUAUAUAUAUAUUUUUUGGCUGGACCAUACUAAUAAUAAUAAUAAUAACAACAAUAAUAAUAAGUGCCCAUGAACUAUAUAUAUAUAUAUAUAUAUAGUUAAUAACUUAAAAUAUUUCUAUAUAACAUACGUACAUGUAUAUAAUAUACAUGUAUGUAAUAUAUAUAUAUAUAUAUAUAUAUAGAGUCCGGCUACUAUGCUAUUGGUAGCACGAAGCGCUCCGUGCUACCAAGUUGUUUUCGAUCAUGCGGCUUCCAAAUCGAUGAUCGGCUCCGUUAGACUUGAUCUACACUAUUGAAACUAUUUGGAAACUAAAUUUCAGAUUUUUUCGACAUCAUUUGACUAGUGAUCAAAAGAUUUCAAAAUUGACAAUUUUAAUGGCCGAUGUGGUGUGUUUGUGAGUUUAACGGUGUAAAACAAUCCAAAUGCGAUGAAAAUUUUAUAGAAAAUUCUUUUCACUAUUUAGAGUAAGAUCAGUAUAUUUGAUCUUGAAUUUAAAAUUUUAUCAUCAUUUUCAUGAGAUUUUUAUUUUCAGCCGUUCAAUUUUAAACUACUUGUUUGAUAGGUAAAUGGUAUCGAAAAAUUAUAAAUUUAAUUUCCAAAAUACUUUUAUAGUGUAAUUAAGUCCAACGGAGCCGAUCUGUCGAUUGGAAGCCGCAUAUCGAAAACAACUUGGUAGCACGGAGCGCUCCGUGCUACCGAUAGUAUAGUAGCCUAGUUCUAUAUAUAUAUAUAUAUAUAUAUAUAUAUAUGAAAGCUACAUUAGCUGCAACUAUCUAAUAUUAUGAAAAAUGAUUAAAAAAAUACUGUGUGUACUUAAUAGUCUCCCCUUCUGUUUUUUUUUAAUUAUAAAUAAGUUUCAUUAUUAUUAUUAUUAUUAUUUUUUUGCUUAACAUAAAAUAUUAUUAAAAUAAAAGUUAUGGGUACAUUUUAAAGUAAGCAAAGGAAACAAGAUAAUCCACCCCUUUUCUUGUUUUUUGUUCUUUCUUGCUCCCAGACAAGAAUGUUAUGGGUUCGGUUGUGGGUUCGGUCCUUGUCCUUGAUGGUGUGGAGGCUCGGGCGACCAGCAGCAAACACGGUGAGUUUGGCCGGCGUCAACGAUGGACACAACGGCAACAACGGGUCAGGUGGCGUUGGCGGCUUGAGCAGCGACGGUAGCGGUGGACUCAGCGGCUCGGUCGACGAUGGCGGGGGCGCGGCUCGGACGGCGUCGGCGGGGUACGUGGCAGCAUCGGCGGCGACGGUAGCAGUGGACUCAGCGGCUCGGUCGACGAUGGCAGGGGGGCGCGGCUCGCACGGCGUCGGCGGGGCACGUGGCAGCAUCGGCGGCGACGGCCGACGUGAUGGAUGCGGCGGCGGCGGCUCCCCUCCACUAACUAUAUGUUAUUAUUAUUAUUAUUAUUAUUUUUUGCUCUUCUCUUCUUCUUCUUCUUCCCCUCUUUUUUUUCUUUUUUUAAAAAAAAAAAAAAAAAAGCAAUGCAACUGGGAGUGUAUUUGCACUGGGUGUCCGUCCUCUCCCCUCGCACUACUUCCCCCUCACUAUUUAUAGAGCUUGGAGGGGUGGGUUUGCUCUGGAAGUGAUGAGAAAGAGAGAGAAAGAGAGAGACAGAAAGAGACUAAAAGGAAGAGGGAGGAGAGAAGGAGAGAGAAAGACAGAAAGAAAGAGAGAGAGAGAGAGAGAGAGUAAGAAAGAGAGAGAAAGAGAGAGAGAGUAAGAAAGAGAGAGGAAGAAAGAGAGAGAGAGAGAGUAAGAGAGAAAGAGUCAGAUUUUUCUCUCUCUCCCCAAUUCUUUUCUCUUUUCAUAUUAUAUAUAUAUAUAUAUAUAUAUAUAUAUAUAUAUAUGAGUUGAGCUAGAAUACUCUCGAUAGUAAACGGAGCGUUUUACUAUCGAGUUGUUUUCGAUGAUAGAGCUUCCAAAUUGACGAUCGGCUCCGUUAAAUAUGAUCUAAACUAUUUAAACUACCUAGAAAUCAAAUUUCACGCACUUUCGAUAUUGUUCUUUUAUCCAUCUAGUGAAAUAUAUAUUAUAUAUAUUAGGUAGUCCAGAUUUGGAUCAAAACUAGCCUAAGUUUCAGGAGUAUAACCCAGCAUUGCGAAUAAGGAUCACAGUUGCAUAAUGCUGGAAUGAAAAAGGGUGGAGAUGGCGCUUCAUAACUACAGGCCAUAGCUACAUCGAAUAUCAAUAGUCGCCAUCAGAUUAGUUUUGAUCAAAAACCUACUUGCCCUUUUAGCCAACUGACACACCGGAUAUACUAAACUGGCGUUGGACCGUGCAACCAAAUUUUACCGUUAAGUCCCUUAUGAAUUCAUCACCGACGCAGGUCAGGGAGCCCAAUGUAUGAGCAUCUUUGGAGGUUAAAAUUCCGGUCAAAAUCAAAAGUCUUUAUUUGGAUUCUGCUGCGCAAGAGACUGCUAACACAGACAGAAUGAUCUGCAGAGGAUGCCUGGUGGAUCAAUUUUGCAUUUUGUGUGUUUCUUUCCAGAAACCUACGACCACUGUUUCGGGACUGUAUCUUGGUUAGAUACAUCUGUAUUUGUGCGAAGUUCAGAUGCAAGCGAAUCGGAUGCCGGGGAUGUACGGAGGCUAUGGACAGAUACAUCUAACAUACCCAAUGCCGCCACGAGAUGAAAUGUUUAUAACCCGUUUGCGGCAAUCUGGUGGGUCGUCUGGACUGAGGCAACAACACUAUCUUCUGCGAGGUGCUUUCCAAUGCUACCCGGGCUCUUGAACGUGUCGGUUCUUUGACCAAUGCCUGGAACGGAGCCCUUGCCCUUGUUGUCCUUCUUUCAUGCUCGGUCCCACUUCUUCAUUUUCGUUAUCCACCCCGCUGUUGGGUAAAAUUUUAAGCUAGCCCAUAAAAAAUGACAAAAGAAAAAUAUAUAUAAAAGAGAUAUUUUAAGCCAGUUUCAAGUCCACAUAUAUAUAUAUAUAUAUAUAUAUAUAUAUAUUAGAAAAUGAGAAGCAUUUUUUAGUCUUGAAAAGUAAAAGAUAUUUUAUUGGGUUAUGAUUUAGAUUCGUGCAUACUGCAUAGUAGAGUGGAAAAGGCCUCCUAUUCGGGCAAAUUUUUACCAACAUUCAAUGUUGAGGCCUGAUAAGAAAGAGAGAGAAAAAGAUAAAAAAAAAAAAAAUUCCUUGCAACUUCCCACUACUCAAGUCUAUGUAGCAAACUUUCUGAUGCAGAAGCAGUAGUAGUCAGAAUAGACUAGAACCUAUGUUGACGAAUUAAACUGUUUUAGUUCAUCUAAGUUGUUAGAAAAAUUAUUAAUUUGGUAGAAAUUUUAUAUAAAAGUUAUUAAUUUUAUUGUUAAAAUUUUAUCUAAAAGUUGUUAGAAAAGUUAAUAAUUUGGUAGAGAUUUUAUUGUUAGAAUUUUUAUUUUGAGCUUAUUACUGUCAGGAAAAGCACUUUAAAUAUUCUCUACAUUGGACGAUAAAGAAUUAAUAAAAAAAUUUUUAUUUUUUAAAAUGAGAUGUGUUCUUUAAUUUUUUCUUCGCGAAUGCGUCGUUUUGGAGUGAGUCCAGUUCCGAAGUGAGUUCGGUUCAGGAGUGAAUCCUGAUUAUCUUUUCUAUUUCUUUCUUUUUUUGAAUUUUUCUAUUUUCUUUAAUUUUUAUUUUUUUAAUUACGAAAAUUUCCAAAAAAAAUAUUUCAAAAAUUUUCAAAUUUUCAAAACGCUUUCAAAAUCAUAAAUUAUUUUCUGGAGCCCUCUAAAAACAUAGAACUCUAUAUCCCAUCCUGCGUCAGAUUUGGUAUCAGAGCCUAGGCUAUUUGACAGUUCUAUUUCGUUAAAAGUUUUAGGCUUGGGAUGAAAACAACGUGGAAAUUGAAAAAAAAAAUUGAAAGAAAAGUGUGGAGAAAAAAAAAUGGAGAGUGUGUAAAAGAAAAAAAAAGGAAAAAAAAAUAUUAUGGAUGCAAAAGAAUGUCUUAAAAAAGUUUUUCAAAAGUAUGGUAGAAUAAAAGGAAUUCAUAUUGAGUCUUUAAAAGAAAUAUGCGAGAUGACAGGAGUAGAGUUUGAUGAAUGGCUGUACGAUCAGAGGUCAUAUUUUGAGAUAAAAAGAAAUGAUAUUCGGAAGGAAAUACUAAAUGACUUGAGAUGGUAGUAUGGACAAAGGCAAAUAUCGCAUCUUGAGUUUAACAUAAUAUUUUUGGAGGAAGAAGAAAGAAGGUUGAAAGAUAUUGAAAAUGGUGCUAAAAUUACUGAAGAUGGUUUUCGAUGGAUGGGUAAUGUCAGAGAUGAUUAUCGAUGGAUCCAACUAAAAGUUCAACUGGAAACCCUAGUUGCUUAACAGAGAGUACCGAGUACACAACCUAUAGCAUAGUUGGAAGUCGACAAUUCUGAUCCAGUUUCAUCCACACCAUCCGAUAGCCAAGAAAUUCCAGAUGUGGUUGAGCCCGAGUUAGAUUUAGAAAAUCCAGAGUUGAUUCAUGAAGAUAAGGUAAAUCAGUGUGUUGAGGAGGUAAGAUUACAGAUCGAGUUACUCGUACUGCUCCAGCAAUAUGAGUCCACUGUAUUAGAGCUUCAGAUUUCAUCGAAAGCAUAUUUCUUAUUGGUAUCAAACCUUACGAAAUCUCAUGAACUUGUCAGUUGUUCUUCCUACUUCAAUACCAAACCGGAAGCUCAGAUGAUACAAGUGGCUCGACAUGCAGGCAUUGGGCUGCAUCACUUUAUUCUACACACUUGGUUGUUUCUUAUAUAUCCUCCUUACAAAUCUAACUAAUCUCGAGGACGGGAUCCUGUGCAGCGGAAGCGAAUGAUGCAGAACAGACUUGAACCUAUGUUGAUCGGAUUAAACCGAUUUAGUUCAUCAAAUUGUUAGGAAAGCUGUUAAUUUGGUAGAGAUUUAUAUAAAAGUUGGAGAUUUUAUUGUUAGAAUUUUUGUUUUGAGCUUAUCACUGUCGGAAAAAACUUUUUAAAUAUUCUCUACAUUGGACGAUAAAGAAUUAAUGAAGAAGAAUGUUAUUUUUUAAAAUGAGAUGUGGUCUCUAAUUUUCGUUCGUAUUUAUGUGUCGACCGGAGCAAGUCCGUAAGGAGCGAGUCCCUUAUCUUUAUCCUUUCGUUUUGCAAUUUCUCCUCCGACUUGAAACCCAGCACCAUUAAUACGCCUGCUGCCAGCACAUCACCGCCAUCUGCUGCCAGCGUCAUCAACACCACCUAUUGCCGUCAAUUGAUGCAUCUGCUGCCAGCACCUUUGACAAUGCCUGCUGAUAGUAGCACCGGCUCCAUCCGCACUUCCUUCAUCUCCCAUUAUUAUUGUCAUCGCUAAGUGUGUCCACCGUCGUUAUCUUCUACCUUUUAUUUAAUUUUUAUUUUUUUUAAUUACGAUUUUUUUAAAGCAUUUUAAAACUUUCAAAAUUUUAAAACGUUUUCAAAAUCAUAAAUUAUAUUUUAGAACCGUCUAAGAAUGUAGGACCUACAUCCCAUCCUGCGUACCUGCGUCACUUUCCAUUACUCCAUCUACAACUACCCACUCCAGCACACCUCCUCAAAAGGAAAAAUUCUAGAAUGCAACGGGUAUAUUGGUGACGUGGUGUACCAAACCAAUCAAAUGUCUCUUUUUAAAAGUAUACGUCCCAUCAGGAUUGCAAAAAAUAUUUUUAUUAUACUUUUGUUUGAAAAGAAGGAAUGUGAUUGGCUUGUUAUUGAUGACGUGGUGCAAGUGUGAUAGUGUAGAAUACCUCCCUCAAAAGGACGUGCUCGUAUCUUUGGAAAUAGUGCAUCUAUAAAUUUGAUAUUUUUUGCUCAUUAGGAAGGGGGAUGAAGCCCAACAUCCAUUUCCAACUAGAUUAAUUACACAAGGCACAACAGUCCUCCAUAAUUAGAUGUUGGAUAAGACCCAGUAACAGAGCCCGAACCGCACCGCCUGCGGCUUUCCAUCCUGACGUUGCCGCAACAACUCUAAUGCCGGCGUCGCUGCGCCUCAACUUACAUGCUGUUGCGGCCUUCACCAACGGCGAUGCUCUUAACUCGUGUGCCGCCGCGGUUCGACUUCUACGUGUCCAACUCGCAUACCGCUGCAGACCAGCAUCAACGCCUUCGACUCGCGCGCCGUCCCAAACUACCAGCGACGAUGUGAUUGAGGCCUCCUACUCUAAUGCUGCCAUGAAAUUAAGCUCGAGCAUUGCCGCGGAGUGCAACUUUGGCAUGCCCAUGGCCUUCAAGACCGACACAACCGUGGGCUAUAUAACUUUGGUGCGCCUACGACCACUGCAUCGAACAGAGUCACGACCUCCAAUUUAGCUGACAUUACGGGUCCCAACCUGAUGUAGAAGUUACCUCUAGUUGAGGCGUCACCAAAGUUGCAAUCUCUAACACUAUGUGUCAGAUCUAUCGCAUGUUUGACGUAAUGCCCAAGACAAAUCUUUGCCUGGGUAUCUACGGGCGCACCAUCGACAAUCAUGGAGGAGCACCGAAACUAUCAAUCUUCUGCUUUGGCGCUUAGCCGUCAACAGAAGAGAAGACCCAGCAAUGUCACGCCCCGAUUUCAUAGUGGAAGCCUGUGGGGACGUCAACAGACUCGCCGAACGGACAGAGUUUUUUCUCUCUGCACGAAGCGACCAACGAGAUAGAAGCAGUAAUAAGGGAAUCAAAGGGUCAACAUUAACGAUUCUAGAGUCCACAACUAAACACAAAGUAUCUGAGUGAUUUAUGUAAAACUAAACUAAACAACUACCACUAUUCAUACAAAUAUACAACCAUACAUUUCAAAAUAAAGAUACAUAAGUAAAGAUCCUGGCUUCACCAGUCCUGAUGUACAUUACAUAAUCUCAAAAUCAAUUAGCUGGUGGUCCUCUAUAUACACAGGUUGGAGAUGCAUGCUACCUAUGGCGUGAUUCUCUUAACUCGAUGAUCCGUUGGUGUAGCUGUAUUUGAAAAGUAAACAAUAAAAAAGUGUGAGAACUACUAGACGGUAGUUUCGUAACAACCACGACCUUCCUACUGGGUCUACUAGAGAUAAGAAUAGGAAAAAAAAAGUAGUAUAGUAUACGAUCAACUAAGCUACAAAGUAUGAUAAAAAAGAAAAAUACUUUUACUAACAUCAUGCCUCUAGACAUAUAUCCUAUCUAUCAUGCUUCUAUAAAAGUAUACUGUCUAUCAUAUCUCUAUACAUGAAAAAUGCGAUAAUAAAGCCGUCUGAUAUAUGCAUCAACUCCAAUAUUGAUAAAUAGGAACGGUACACCGUACAAAGUAAAUAACCAUGCCAUGUAUCCACUAGUGUACUAAUGUUGAGUGUAAGGUGUCACCCGGUCAUAUACAUGCAACCCUAUCAACAUACUGUGACCCAAUCAUAAACUGACCAACUCGUAGGUCACAUAUGUAAGGAACAAAAGACAAAGUGACUAGAAUAUGUAUCAAUGCUGAUACUAAUAAAUAAAUACAGUAAUAAUAUCUAAUCGCAACGACCGAGUCAUAGGUCCGGUCAAGCCUGCGCCUGCCUAGUGUCCAAACCGCAAUCCCGCAGGUGCGCCCGUUAACAUGUAGGCUCUAUCCCUAGCCCGAUCACCACUCCCACAGAUGGGUCGUCAUCCCAAGGGUAAAUAUCUCUGCAAUAACUGGCCAGCAUCAGGAGCGGCACUCGAAGGGGAGCAACCCCUACCGUAUCUAAUAGCAUGUAACUCUAUCAAGCUCAAUGUGGCUCUGUAGGCUAUGGUCUAUGCAAUGAUCAAACAAAUCACAAAUAACCAAUCUGCCUCGGCAUAAUCAUAAAAUGUCAACUAAGUCAUAUAUUACAGUAGUAUAAUCAUAUACCUCUCAAUAUCCAAGAUCUAUCAUAUGAACUAGAGUAUAUAUAAUGCAGAUGAACACUAGAUCUCUUACUAAAUAUGCAUAUGAUGUCCAGGGGUAUUUACUAAAGAUGCAUAUGUUGUCCAAUGGCCCUUCCCAGUCUAACUUAGUGUAUGCAACAUAAUAAACUAAUUGGUAAUUACUAAACUAAAGCAAUUCAACCUAUUGAUCAUAUAAUUAGACAUAGGUUAAUGUUUGCAUGAAUAUACUAUAUAUGUAAUCCAUUUCCUCUAUUUAAUUUCAAACUAAAACAAUUUUCUACGAAUAUAUAACCAUAUACAUACACCUACAAAUGCACCAUAGACAUAUACAUGAUUUAUUGCUCAAUUAAUCUAACAUCAACCAGCGUUCACAUGCAAUAUCUAAAUUUUCACCCUUCACUCACCUAUAUUGCCAUCACCACCCUCAAAGCGUGCAACCUGCAUUCAUAAACAUAUACAAAUAUAUGCAAAAUAGACGUAGAAGGAAGUUCGCUAUUUUCGGCGACACGGAACCCACCUAGAUUGCAAUCCAAAGAUGACAAUGAACAUAGGAGAUGCGAGCUGCUUUGCUGCAGUCUUCCCGGUCCUUACAGCAGCCACAACAUCAAAAAAAAUUCGCUCAAAAAAAUCCCGCAACGAAUCUCACGUGAAAUUAGGGAUGCCAAUGAGUAUGAAUAUCCGAAAUAUUACCCGAAUCCGAACCCGAACGGGGCGGGUUUAUCCGAGCUAAAUGGAUAUGGAUUCGGUUUACAUGGAAAAUAAAAACCCGACGAAUAUGGAUACGGGUAUGGAUUUUGUAUUUACCCGACCCGACACCGAACCCGAACCCGAAUAAAUUAUAUAUAUAUACAUACUUUAUUUUUAUUUAUUUAUAUAAUAUAUAAAAUAUUUAAUAAUUUUUAUCCCUUAGAUCUUAAUUUAACGGUAUGGAUUCUUAAAACCUGCCGGGUCCGGGUCCCGGUUUGGUCGGGUACGAAUAUGGGCAUGGAUUUUUAAAACCCGCCGGGUUCGGGUUCGGGUUCGGGUCCGGAUACGGGUUUUAAUUUGGUUUUCGGGUUCGGGUUCGGGUUCGGGUUCGGAUACGGGUUUUAAUUUGGUUUUUGGGUUCGGGUUCGGGUUUUUAAAAACCCGACCCAAACCCGACCCGUUGACAUCCCUACGUGAAAUCGACUCCUGAUUCACAUACAAAUCAAUACUAUGGACAAAGUAGAAAGUAACCAAGUGCUACUAAGUAGAUAUCUAUAUCUCACAAUGAAGUUCAAGUCUCUUGACUACAUAAAUAUGCGAUUUGGAAUAGAAGAUAAUUAACAUGUAUGUGGAAUUACUCAACAUGUGCUACAUAAGGUAUAUAACAAGGAAUAUGCAAUCAACAUGCAUAUAAUCGAAAUGCCAUGAUUCAUAUCACAAGUACGAGUUCUAAAUGUCAUAAUAAUCAGGGAAUCAACAUCGAUAAAGAAACACUGCAGCCAAAAAAAUUGAAAGUUGCAGUGAAGUUUAUCGACAAGUCUGAUUUAAUCGAUUCAUUUUUAGCUCUAACCGUAAUGGUUUCGCCUCAAAUUUCAGCUGUAGUUAGUUCACAUCCUUAAGAAUAUCUGUUCCCAAUUUCACAAUCUAAUUCAAAACGAUCAAGGAGAAAUUAGAAAACAUAUUACUUGCUGUCCUGCACUGACAUAGGGCUACUAAAACUACUAAAAGCCUAAUUUCUCUUGAAAUAUAACUCCGUUUAGUCUCAAAUUUAUAUAUUAUAAUCUCGACAUCCAUAGGUACUAAUCAGCGAAAUUUCAGAGUUUAAUUCCAUAUAAAACGGAAGAAAUUAAUAGAAGAAAUCUACUGUCAGCACUACUCUAACAGCAGUUUAAGCCAAUCUUUGUAUUCUCUUUUAUAUACCCAUCUAAUAAAGUAAAAUCAAAUUCAAGCCUUAACCAUACACAUCAAAUAAAAUAAAAUCAACUAUUUAGAGCAUCAAAUUCAAGCCUUAACCAUUUACAUCCAUAAAACCCAGCAAGAUAUUUACCUCUAUUACCCAAUCCAUUUUCUUUCAAUUUGUUGCCUAAUCAAAAGUUGGGUUGGCCUCCAAUAAAGCUUUCUUCCAAUUUUGCUAGAAUUUUCCACAAAUUUAUCACAAUUUUGCACCUAUUUGUGUGUGAGAAAGAAAGAAGAGGAUAAGGGAUUUUGAGAGGAGAAGAAAGAAAGAGAAGAUGGUGUCGGUUGGGGAAGGGAGAAAAAUCGGGUUAAUUACACAAGUACGUAGUCCCCAACCUUUGCAGUAAUUUUUAUUGGCCAAUUUGCCUAAAAAAUUCACUUAUUUUUGACUUUUCAAAAUCGGACCACCAUUUUCAUUUUUACAGAUUCGGUUCGUUUUUUCAGCAAACUGACCAAAAUACGCUUAUACUGUUCUCUCUCUCCUCUUUUUUUUCUCUCGUUCUUUUUUUCUUUCUCUUCCCAGAGAGCGGCGGAGACAGAGGCAGAGGCGGAGGUUGAGGCGAAGGCGGCCUGCUUUAGUUUUGUCUGACGCAUCCUUAUCCUCGCUCGCACACCCCCCGCCUUCCUCGCCUCUGACACCGCCGAGGCCGCGCUGCGACUUUUUUUUUUUUCCCCUCUCCGACCCUCCUCCACCGCCACCGACGACGACGACUAUCUCACACUCUCUCGCCUUUCUUACCCUUUCCCUCUCCCUCCUCCUUCACCUCUUCCGCCGCCUUCGACGAUGACACUUCUCCGCCGACAUCGGCGCCGCGGAGGAUUUUUUUUUUUUCCACUCCGACUCUCCUCCACCGUCUCCGACGACGACGCCUCUCUCGCCCUUCCCCACCCUUCUCGUCCUCUCCCUCUCCCUCCUCCUCUGCCGCCUCCGACGACGACGCAUCUUCGCCGACGCCGACACCGCGGAGGUCACUGCGGCACUGCAGCCUCAGAGCGGGGGGUCCUUAGCGGCGUCGUCGCCGGCGUCGUGGCUGUUAGCAGAGAGGGGUGACAAAAAAAAAUAUAGAAGAAGCAAGAAAAAAAAUAAAGAUAAAAAAUUAUAGAAAAAGAAUGAUGAAAAUGAAAUUACAUCGUUAACUGCAACAAAAAAUUAUAAGUUGCACUACUUAAGAUAAAACUGCAGCUUUAAGAUGAAAAUUACACUCUUUGGGAAAUAUUUACACUGUUUCUCCUCUUAUUGUACUCUUUCAGAUAUAAACUGCAUCCAUUAAGAUAAAAGUUAUACUCUUUAAACGAAAGUUGCACUCUUUGAGAGAUAUUUAUACUAUUUCUUCUCUUCUUGUACUUUUUUAGAUGUAACUGCACCCCUUUAAGAGAUAUUUAUACUGUUUUUUCUUUUGUUGCACUGUUUUUUCUUUUGCUGCACUGUUUUUCCUCUUAUUGCACUGUUUCUCCUUUUAAAGGGUGCAGUUUAAGAUAAAAAAUAGUAAAACAAGAGAAGAAAUAGUGCAACAAGAAUAGAAACAGUGCAACAAAAGGAGAAACAGUGCAACAAUAUGAGAAACAAUAUAAAUACUUUUUGAAGGGGUGCAGUUUACAUCUCAAAGAGUGCAAGAAGAAAAACAGUGUAAAUAUCUCUCAAAGAGUGCAACUUUCGUUUAAAGAGUGUAACUUUCAUCUUAAUAGAUGCAGUUUACAUCUGAAAGAGUGCAAUAAGAGAAAAAACAGUGUAAAUAUCUCCCAAAGAGUAUAAUUUUUGUUUAAAGAGUGUAAUUUUUAUCUUAAAGCUGCAGUUUACAUCUUUAGUAGUGCAACUUAUAAUUUUUUUCAGUUAACUAUGCAAUUUCAUCUUCAUCAUUCUUUUUCUAUAAUUUUUUAUCUUUAUUUUUUCUUGUUUCUUUUAUAAUUUUUUUUUCUUGUUUCUUCUAUAAUUUUUUUUUUUGUUACCCCUCUCUGCCAACGGCCACGACGCCGGUGACGACGCUGCUAAGGACUCCCUGCUUCGAGGCUGCAGCGCUGCAGUGACCUUCACGAUGUCGGUGUCGGCAUCGACGCCAGAGAAGAUGCGUCGUCGUUGGAGGCGGCAGAGGAUGAGGAAGAGGGAGAGGACGAGAAGGACGAGGAAGGACAAGAGAGACGUCGGGUCGGAGAUGGUGGAGGAGAGUCGGAGAGGAGAAAAAAAAAAAAGAGUCGCGGCGCGACCUCGGCUUGGUCGGAGGCGUGGAAAGUGGGGUGUGCAGGAGAGGAUAAGGAUGCGCCGGACAAAAUCGAAGCAGGCCGCCUUCGUUCUGUCUUUGCCGCUCUCUGGGAAGAGAAAGAAAAAAAGAACGAAAGAAAAAAAAGAGGAGAGAGAAAAAGGUAUAAGGGUAUUUUGGUCAGUUUGCUGAAAAAUCGGACCGAAUCUGCAAAAACAAAAAAUGUGGCCCGGUUUUGCAACAGCUCAAAAUAAGUGGAUUUUUUAUGCAAAUUGGCCAUUUUUUUUUAAAAGUCGCUAUGUCUCAAUCUUUUUCUGAAUUUUUUUGUUAUUUAUUUUCUAAUCUUGUAGUCUUAUUACAAUUACAUCAUAACUGUAAAAAAAAUAUUAAAAUUAACGGAAUCGCCACAUCAACGUCUAUUUGGCAUCCUUUUGCAUGUUAAGUUAGGUCCCUAAACUUUGCAUGUUUUUCACUUUAAUCCCUAAAAAUAAAAAUUUUAAAUUUUAAAUUUAAAUUAACAAAUAAUAUUAAAAUUAAAAUUUUAAACUAACGAGAAAUUAGAAUUUUGAAUUCGAAUUUAAAACUGAAUUAAAAUUUUGAAUUGAAAUUCAAAUUUUAAAUUUAAAUUUUUAAUUGAAUCUAAAUUUUGAAUUCAAACUUAAAAUUUUGAUUUUAAAAUCAUAUUCAAAAUUUUGAUUUUAAAUUUUAAAUUUGAAUUCAAAAUUUAAAUUUGAAUUUAAGAUUUGAUUUCAAUUAUAAAUUUGAAUUUAAACUUUGAAUUCAAAUACACAUUUUGAAUUUGAAAUUUGAAAUUGAUGUUUGAAAUCAAAUUAGAAUUUAGAAUUCGAAAUGUAAAUUUGAAUUUAAAAUUUAAAAUUUAAAAUCAAAUACAAAAUUGAAAUUUGAAUUCUAAUUUAAAUUUGAAUCCGAAAUCAAAAUUUAAAUUUAAAAUUUAAAUCUUAAAUUAAAAAUCUAUUUUUGAAUUUAUAAAUUUAAUGAGUUAAUUACACCAUUGGUCCCCAAUCUUUGCAUUGUUUCUCAAUUAGAUCCUCAACCUCUUUUUUUUUUUUGCAAUCUGCUGACAUAGUGCCACCGUGGCGCUGACGCGACACCUUUAUGACGCUGAUAUGGCGCCUUCGUGACACUGACAUGGUACUGACGUGAUAUUUUUCGUCAAUUUUAAUAUCUAUUUAACGGACGGGACUUAAUUGUAAUGAAAUCAAGAAAUUAGAAACUUGAUUGCAAAAAAAAAGGUUGGGGAUCAAAUUGAAAAACCGUGUAAAGGUUAGGGACCAUUGGUGCCCACAUCAUAGGCGGAAGAUCAGAAGACCGAUCCCGCCUAACCCGCUUCCACCACACCUUCGCCGCCUUCUCAAGGCAGUGUGUGGCGAGGUGUACCUUGUCCUUCUCCAAGGUGUAUAGGUCCUCGAAGAGUUUCUCCAUGGAGUCGAUCCAUGACUCCACUACCGCCGGUUCCACCAUCCCCCCUUCGAAGAUAGGUGGGUUGAACUUCUUGAAUUGAAUGAGAGCCGCCAACGCGCGCUCCCGCUCCGCCUCUUCCGUCGUACUAUCGGGAUUUGAAGUCCCCGAUCCAGCCGGAAUCGCCGUAACUGGAAUGGCCGCCGCGGCCACACCCUUCGCUACGGUCGGCACCACCGCAGGGGGCGUAGGGGGCUCGGCCUCCACGUGAGCCGUCGCCGCCUGCUGUCGCUCCAAGGCCUCUUAAAGCCGUCGUAUCUGCUCCCCCUGACGCUGAACCAACUCCGCUUGCUGUUGCACUACGCCAAUAAGCGCGGCCAUCUGCUCCCGAAGCUCCCCGUCGCCACCCGCUCCGGGUUGCACAGGAGCCGCACUUGGUUCCUCGGGCAUCGACCUUGUUCGGGGUCGACCACGAGGCAGCAUUGCUUCCUGAAACGAAGCAAUUCACGUUAAUUACUUAACCAACAUACUCGAACUUACCCAAUCCGGCGAAAGCAAAAGUGUAUUUAUUUUUAUUUCCAAGCAUCAUGUAGUUGGCCGCCGAUCACAACACAAGGAAAAUAAAAAACAAAUAUCAACUUAAAACUAGUCCCUAACUAUAUUAGAGACAUACUAACAUCAACCCAAUCAUAAGCUUUCGCUAUGUUUUGUCCAACGUCACUCACGUUCCCAAGAUCCUUAAGGUCUUUCCAUUCCUAAAGGUCUCUAGGUCCAUCCUAUACGUGCACUUUUUGGCUUUUUACACUCUAAUACCAUUAUAUCUGUCACGCCCCGAACCCGGUCCUAUUUGGCCAGUUCGGACCCGUCGAACAGACACCGAACGAACAGAGCCUCUCCUGUCCACCCAAGGCUCAACAACAAGUACAAAUAGAGUAUAAAAUUUGCACAUGCGGAAGUAUACAUAAUGGCUUGCACGAGGGCAAGCAGUAGCCAGAGUGAAAGUACUAUCUACUCAACAUACAAGUAAUAUGAUUCCCUUUUAACCAUAUACAUGCAUACAUCUUUAAACAUUUAGAUUCUUUACAUUCUUUGCAUUAUUUUUUUCUACAACUCAAGUUCUCCAAAAUAUAACUUCUUGCUUUCAAUAUAAAUCCUUUUACAUCAUUCAUGUUCUUUCAUUUAAACGUCUAUAAUCAUCAAAAUACAAAGGAUGAUGUAAGAGGGUAUGCAACUACAAAAUGUAAAGUAUCUCGGGCGGUCUCUGUCUAGGGUGCGAUACCCUUACCGCGAUCAUCCACCGGUUCGCUCGGUCUUGGCUCUGUGGAAAUAGUGGGGUGAGAACUACAACAAAGUUUCCAGUGGGUUCGACCGCCGACCAUGCCGACUUUCCCACUAGGUCUAAAUCAGGCAUAAUAGAAGAAAAAUAGAUAGUAACCAACUAAACAAAUGCAGCUAAUAUGCCUGAACAAUAAACAAUGUUAUGCGCAAUAGAAUGCUCAUGAUGAAUGCAAAAUCACUUUUCGGUUCCCAAUCUCUAGGCUAGCCCGUGGGUUUCGCCCUCAAUAGACUCACCAAUUCAAAUCCCAAGUAUCGGGAAGACUACUAUGCCCGAUGGGACCGUCCUCUGAGGGAUUCCACGUCCCAGUGAUGACAACUCCAGAGCACAUCGCCCCAGGGGGAGCUACCGCCCUCGAGCAAGGACUUACAGGUGAGUAUGAUCAAAUCCUUAACUAUAAGGAUGUCAAGUUCAAUCCAUUCCUUAACUAUAAGGAAGCUAUGCACAUAUGACCCUUAACUCUAAGGUUGUAUGUCAUAAUGUCUCUAUCACACUUUUACUUGCAUUCUUUUCUUUCACUAGUGUCAUGUACACUACUUUGUUCUUGUACUGACACACUCAUGCCACACUUGUUUUCGAAGUGUUCAACUCUAGCAUUCUUGACUCGUCGAUGCCACUCUCUACACUUAUGUCAACAUGAUACAUUUGUUCUCUAAGUUCACUAAGUUCUUGUCAUUUAUUAUGCAUACAUAGGAUUUAUAAAUUCUCACUUUCUUACUAGUAUUUCUAUAGUACAUUGAACUUUGGCAAAUUGCGAAGUUCGAGUGGGGGAAGGCCAAUUGGAAUUAGCCGACAUCUUCUAAAGGGUUUAGAGAAGUUGGUGAACAGGUUUGAGAGUGAUCGGAGCGCGGGAAGCGAGAAAGUGCAUUGCUGUGGAUUUAUUUCACUAUUUUGCAUUGUUGUAUCGGUACAAAUAUGUAUCUGUACCGGUACAACAAGCAGCAGAGGCAGCAGCUACGUGGCAGCAGGCCUAAUUUGGUCUUUUCUCAUCUCUAGCUUAUCUAUAAGCCUCUAGCUCGACCCCUGCCCUUCAGAUAAGGUUGCUGGGACUCUGAACCAAGGGUUUACACCUCUCUUACUUUUUCUCUCUAGGAAGUGUUCUCUCUCUAAGUGGAAUCAAGGGUUUUGGUCCAUUUUCCUCUUCUCUUUUGAUGCUGAUUGCUUUGGGAGGUCAAGGAGCUAUUACAGAAGGUGAAGAAGGUGUCUUGGGGCGAAUUUCGCAGCUCCCUUGCAGCAGGUAGCUGAGGGAAAGGUUGCUAAGGUAACAACUUAAUUAAUUUAAGAUUUGAUGUGUUGGUGAUAGAGUUAAGUGUGAUUUUGAGUUCUUGUAACCAGCAGCAGUGGGGGAGAGAUUUUGGCAGCUCGGGAAGGGGGCUGUGGCUGCGGAGCUUCAAUCCGAAGCUAGGGGANAUUUCGCAGCUCCCUUGCAGCAGGUAGCUGAGGGAAAGGUUGCUAAGGUAACAACUUAAUUAAUUUAAGAUUUGAUGUGUUGGUGAUAGAGUUAAGUGUGAUUUUGAGUUCUUGUAACCAGCAGGAGUGGGGGAGAGAUUUUGGCAGCUCGGGAAGGGGGCUGUGGCUGCGGAGUUUCAAUCCGAAGCUAGGGGAAGGUACUACCAAAGCUGUGAGAAGGUAAUUGAGUGCUUAGACGCAUAAUUGAUGCUAUAUAAGUUAUAAAUAUGAAGUAUGAAUGCUGAUUUUGGGAGUUUGUGUUCUCAGCAGCUGGAAUCUUCACUUUAAACUGAGUAUUACAAUCUUAUGAGCUGAUUUUGAAUGUAAUUUAACCAGAGGAAAGUGAGAAUUCAAGUUGGGAAUCUACGCAAGCUGAAUUCCAGCAUAUUCUAAGAAAUCGCAUAGGUGUACUAACACUGUUUGAGCAGUGUUCGCAGCAGGUUUGCCAAAGGCUAUCGGAUUGUUCUCGGCUGAUAUUUAGGAGCUUUUGGAGGUUAAGGUGAGUACCUUAACCUGAACCAAAGCAGGGGUUCAAGCUACAGCCGUGUGCAAGGUGAGAUGUUGCUGAAAUUAGAUGUUUUGGUAAUUGUCUCAAUGCAGUUUUCUAACUAGUUCGCAGCAGGUGCGAAGAUCACUUUGGGCUGAACAUUGAGCCCCUUUUUGGGCUGAAUUAAACUGAGUUUGGGAGUACUUCAACCUGAAUUAAGCAGAGGUUUAGUUUCAGUCUAAGCCUAGGUGAGGAUUUAGUCUAUUUUCUAUGAUUAUGUGAAGUUUUACCAUUGGUAUAGAAGUCAGCUCUUAGCUGAUUUCGGAUUUGAUGUUAGGGGAAUUGAAGGCUUCGGAUUUCCUACAAAAGUAAGUUCGACAAGGAUCGUCAAGUAGUAGGUGGGUUUGACCUUACCAGAACAAGUGAAACCCCUAUGUUCUAUAUGAUACUAUAGAAUUACUUGGAUGUGUAACUUUAUGAAUAAGUACUCAACAUCAGGAAUUGAAUGCUAUAAACACAUUGGUUUAUUGAGUGAAAUGGAACUUUUAUAAUGUGAAUAGAAGCAUGAGUAAUAGUAAUGAUGCUUAGUCUAAAUAUCUGGACCUUACAUGGCAUAGGUACAUAUGCAUUACUUUCUUAACUUGUUGAGUCCAGUGGAUAUUAGCCUUUUCACUAUGUUUAGAUUCCGACCUAUUGGUCGAGAGUGAGAACCUUACAUGUUAUGGUAUGAUUAUCUAAAACUAUUAGACUAUGGAUUAUGCUUGCUUGCCAUUGUGCUCAUUCGCACAUGCUUGUGAGAGUCGCGCCCCAGAAGCCGGCACUCCGGAGUUGGCCUACGCGACAGAUUGCUCGCCCGUGCGGGAUUGGGUGCCGAAGUGGAUUGCCGUGGGGAGUGUAUACUACCACGGGGCCAUUAGGCGCGGCGCAAGCUGUACUACCUUGAGUAGGUCGUUACGAAUUAAACUAAAGUACUAACGGAUAGUAAUAUAUGAUUACCCUUAAUCAAUGUACAGUUACACACUUACAUGACAUGUUUAUGUUCAUAGCAACUACCUUACUUGCUUCUACUUGAUUGAUACAUCUGAUAGUAUGAUACAUGUUCAUAGUUUAUUAUCAUUGAUAGAUCUAGCAUGCAAUAACUAUUUUUUUUUUACUUUUCAAUUAGUACAUCUUGAGCCUAGUGGUGUAAUUCGCUGAGGCUGGCGGCUUACCCACUGGAACCUAUUGUUUAAUAGUUUUCACGCUCUCUUUAUUAUUGCUUUCACAGAGCCAUCCACUACGGAAGAGGUUAGGGAUCGCGGCAAGGGAGUCGCGUCUAGCUAGAGAUAGCGUGGAGCCCUACUAGGUGAUCACCUCGCUACCUGGACAUAUGGACGAGAGUGAUGUGUACCCUAUGUAGAGAGACUACCAUUUCUGUAUAUAUAGUUUUGGGUGACUCUAUGAUGUAUAUUUGUUUAGAACAGUGGAUUUACAGUUUUGGGUUUUAUCUUUUGUUGAGCUUUGUAGGGUUAUACUUACUUUUCUCUAGUAAUAGUACAGUUGAUAUAUAUAUAUAUAUAUAUAUAUAUAUAUAUAUAUAUAUAUAUAUACUUUGCUCUGAUAUCAGGUUAUAAUCUUCUUGUAAUUACUACUUUUCUGACAUGAUUUCUGUAGACGUCUUAUAUACUGCAGGUAUCUGACGGGUCUGUGCAUGUACCGGGUAUGCUUCCGUUAGGACCCGGGCGUGACAGAUUAUAGUGGUAUCGGAGCCUAGGGUUGAGUCUUAGUGGACCUAGUAAACCUUAGGCUGGUUGGACUAUAGGAAAUAGGCUCGCGAGAGACGAGGUCUAUUUAAUUUUAAAGCGAAAGUAUUUCGAUUGGGUAUUUUAUAAACUCCGAAUAGGAGGAGUUUAAUUGAAAGGUGCAACUACUAACUUUGUAGAGAGCCACGCUGGCGGCCGACAACGUUACAUCGGAAGUUAGUGGGUGGCACAUUUCAUUACUUUCGCCUGAUUGGGUGGUUAAGGUAUUGAGUGGGGUUUCGAUAGUGUGAGUUUUAUUAACUUACGCUUAUUAUGUUUGUUGCAGUUUAAUAUGCCUACAACUCGUUCUAUGGCUACUGGAGCGGUCGAGGCAGCUGAUGCGGAGGAAGUGGAGACCUCCGCUACCUCCGGAUCUAGUGAGGUCCGUGAGUUGCAGGAUCAGCUUGCGGUGUUGACAGAUUUGGUGACACAGCAGGCAGCGGCAGUGCGACAACAGAUGGAUGCUGCACGCCGACAGGAGGAAAGAAUGAAGCGAUUGGAGGAUUUGUUACUACGGCAGAUGACUGAUAGAGGGUUAUCAGAUUCUACCCCGCGAGUACCCGAGGGGGAUACGGCUUGGAGAGCACAGUCACCAGUACCAAAUACCUCACCAGCAGCGCCGAGGGUAGAGGUUCGACAGGAGGCAGUGGUACCACCGCCAGUGCCUGUGACCGUGGCGGGGACAGUGUUACCGGAGAUGGUAGGGGCCGAGGAGCGAGAGCAGAUGAUGGAACGCCUAAAUGAAUUUCGUCGUUGCAAUCCCCGUAUCUUCGACUGCGAGAAAGCUGAUCACUGGGUGGUUGAGAAAUGGUUGAUGCGCAUGAAAAUGUUACUUUAUGAUACUUUUGUUGAGGAGUGCGACCGGGUCUGGUUCGCAACACACCAUCUGGAUGGCGAGGCUUACAGGUGGUGGUUGGAUAUCCGAGAGGAUCCCCGUACUGACUUGUCUGCGAUCACUUGGAAGAGGUUUAAGGAGUUGCUGUUGACGACCUACUUCCCACAGAGUGUAAAGAGACAGAUGGAGAGGGAUCUGAGAAAUCUGAGGCAGGGGGACAAGACAGUGGCUGAAUAUGAGCGAGAGUUUUCUCGAUUACUGCAUUGUGUCCCUUUUGUGGUUCGAGAUGAUGAGGAUAAGGCCCGUAUUUUUGAGGUGGGUUUGCGACCUGCGAUCUUCAGAUUGGUCCAGGCGUCAAACCUCUCCACUUACCGGGAUGUAGUGAACAGAGCAUUGAUCGUUGAGAAAGGGGCGGAGAUUAUGAAAGAAAAGGAAAUGAUGGAUCGAAGCAAAGAAAAGAGGCCUGGGGCUGAGAGUAGUGGGCAGCAGCCUUUCAGGAGACCGCUGAAGUACCCGAGAGGCCAGCCGAGUCAGUCGAGGGGGCGAGGUUCUUCUGCACCCCGUGGAGCACUCGAGCGUCGUCGGCCGCCACGUUGCGUGAUCUGUAGUAGACCCCACUUUCCACCGCAGUGUCCACAACGUGGGAGCAAGUGCUUUCUUUGUGGUCAGGAGGGCCACUUUCAUUCUGAGUGCCCGAGGGGUUCUUCACCAGCACUAUCAUCAGCAUCAGCACCUGCAUCCUCAACUACGAGUCAGGGGACUCCGUCAGCAUCGUAUCAGUCUAGACGACCACCUGGACAACGACAGUCUGAGAGUUCUCGACAGGGUUCGAGUGGGCGUAUGUAUGCCGCCCAGAUGGAGGAGGCCGCAGCAGCAGAGGAGGUCGUAGCAGGUAUUAUUAUGAUUCACGAUGUUCGUGUUCGUGCAUUAUUUGAUACUGGUGCUUCGCAUUCUUUUAUUGAUCGGCUGUUUGCCGAGUUGCAUAGCAUUCAAUUAGUACCCACUUUGCAUCCGGGACGAGUGAUCGUGCCCGACCAUACCCUGGAUAUUCGUGAGUAUUACCCUCGUUGCCCAGUUCGGGUAGGCGACUGGAUUAUGCCAGCGAACUUAUUAGUACUGCACAAACUAGGUGAGUUUGAUGUAGUAUUGGGUAUGAAUUGGUUGAUACAGUACUAUGCUACUAUAGAUUGCACGAACAGAACGGUAACCUUUCGGGAACCGGAUCAACAGGAAUUUGUAUACAGGGGAUGUCAGAGUUUAUUGUUCGCAACGACAAUUAGUUCUUCGCGAGCACGACAGUUGAUACGGAGGGGUUGCGUGGCCUAUUUGGCUAAUAUUUUUGUCAGUGACGGAGGAGUGGCCAGUAUUGAUAACAUCCCGGUAGUACGGGAGUUUCAUGAUGUGUUUCCAGCUGAGUUACUAGGUAUGCCGCCUGAUAGGGAGGUUGAGUUUGUGGUAGAUCUUGUUCCUGGGACUACCCCAAUCUCAAAAGCACCCUAUCGAAUGGCACCUGCGGAGUUGAAGGAGCUAAAGGCACAGUUACAGGAUAUUCUGGAUAAAGGUUUCAUUCGACCGAGUAUAUCACCUUGGGGAGCACCCGUGUUGUUUGUUAAGAAGAAAGAUGGAUCCUUUCGAUUGUGUAUCGAUUAUCGUGAAAUUAAUAAAGUCACAAUCAAGAAUAAGUAUCCGCUACCACGGAUUGAUGAUUUAUUUGACCAGCUCCAAGGAUCAAAAGUGUACUCCAAGAUUGAUUUGCAAUCUGGAUAUCAUCAGCUGAAGAUCAAACCUGAAGAUGUUUCUAAGAUUGCUUUCAGAACACGGUAUGGGCAUUAUGAAUUCACAGUUAUACCAUUUGAACUGACGAAUGCCCCAGCAGCUUUUAUGGAUUUAAUGAACCGUAUCUGCAAGCCUUAUUUGGACAGAUUUGUGGUAGUAUUCAUUGAUGAUAUUUUGAUCUAUUCUCGAAGCGACGAGGAGCAUGAAAACCAUUUGAGAUUGGUGUUGCAAGUCCUUCGGGAAAAGAAGUUGUUUGCAAAAUUAAAGAAAUGUGAAUUUUGGCUGCAAGAGGUGGCAUUUCUAGGACAUGUGAUUUCAGAAAUCGGGAUUGCUGUGGAUCCCAAGAAAAUUGAAGCAAUCAAGGAAUGGCCUAGACCGGCCAGUGAAGCCGAGAUUCGGAGUUUUCUCGGUUUAGCAGGAUACUACCGACGAUUUGUGGAGGGAUUUGCUAAAAUGUCUACUCCACUUACCCGACUUACACACAAAGGAGCUAAGUUUGUGUGGAAUGAAGUAUGUGAAAGAAGCUUUCAGGAGCUAAAGGAACGAUUGACUACCGCCCCGAUCUUGGCGCUACCUGUUACCGGAGUGGAUUAUGUGAUUUACAGCGACGCAUCACUGAAUGGAUUAGGGUGUGUUCUAAUGCAAAAUGGAAAGGUAAUUGCAUAUGCAGCUCGUCAGCUAAAAGAUUAUGAAAAGAACUACCCUACACACGAUCUAGAGUUAGCAGCUGUAGUUUUUGCUCUAAAGCUAUGGCAUUACUAUUUGUACGGCGAGCGGUGCGAGAUAUAUACAGAUCAUAAAAGCUUAAAGUAUCUGUUUACUCAGAAGGAACUAAACUUGAGACAACGCAGAUGGUUAGAGUUGCUCAAGGAUUAUGAUUUGACUAUUCUUUAUCACCCAGGGAAACCAAAUGUUGUAGUAGAUGCUUUAAAUAGAAAAUCGACGGAAAAUUUGGUAAUGUCGAUAACCUCGCAACCACCUUUGGUAAAGGAAAUGGAACAGUUGAAGUUGGAAGUUGUAGCUCCUGACACACCUUGGCGGCUUAUGUCCUUGAUUGUGCAACCUACUAUAAUUGAGAGAAUUAAAGAAGAGCAAGUACAAGAUGAAUUUCUUCAAAGGAUUCGCGCCAAGAUUACUGGUGAUUAUGUUGGUGAAUUUCAAGUAGAUAAACAAGGAUUAUUAAAAUUCUGCAAUAGACUUUGUGUACCCGCAGAUUCAAAACUUAAAGAGGAAAUUUUUACAGAAGCACAUCGGGCGCCCUAUGCUUUACAUCCGGGAAGUACAAAGAUGUAUAAGGAUUUGAAAUUGACUUAUUAGUGGCCUGGGAUGAAAAAGGAGGUUGCAGAAUUUGUAGCUAAUGUUUAACCUGUCAGCAGGUCAAGGCUGAACAUCAACUUCUUGCGGGAAAGCUUUAAGGUUUACCUAUACCAGUAUGGAAGUAGGAAAGGAUUACUAUGGAUUUCAUUGUAGGGUUGCCUCACUCGCAAGCGGAUCAUGAUGCGAUUUGGGUAAUUGUGGAUAGAUUAACCAAAUCUGCCCACUUCAUUUCGAUUCAUACAGUUUGGUCAGGAGAGAGACUCGCACAAGUGUACCUAGAUGAAAUUGUGCGAUUACAUGGGGUACCUGCUUCUAUUGUAUCAGAUCGAGACCCACGAUUUGUAUCACAUUUCUGGAGGAGCUUACAAGAGACUCUGGGUACCCGAUUGGUUUUUAGUACUGCUUUCUACCCUCAGAGUGACGGACAGACCGAGCGCACUAUUCAGACCCUCGAGGAUAUGUUGCGUGCGUGUGUGAUGGAUUUUCAAGGCGGUUGGCCAGAAUUUCUAUCUAUGGCAGAAUUUGCUUAUAACACUAGUUAUCAAGCAAGUAUUAAAAUGACACCGUUUGAAGCCCUCUAUGGAAGAAAAUGCAGAUCACCACUUCAUUGGAGUAAAGUAGGUCAGACGUUAACCUUGGGUCCUGAUGUCUUGCAGGAAGCCGAAUCUAAAGUUCGAUUUGUACGAGAAAGGUUGGUGACCGCACAAAGUCGACAGAAAAGUUAUGCUGAUAAACGUCGACGGGAAUUGGAAUUCCAAGUGGGAGAUCAUGUAUUUUUGAAAGUGUCGCCGACAAAAGGAGUGAAGAGGUUUGGUAUUCGAGGAAAUUUAAGGCCUCGAUUCAUUGGACCUUAUGAAGUAUUGGAGCGGAUCGGGCCAGUAGCGUAUCGGCUGGUAUUACCACCAAACCUAUCUAGCGUGCAUAAUGUGUUUCAUGUAUCUACACUGCAGAAGUAUAUAUUUGAUCCGACUCACAUUCUGGAAAGUACUCCAAUAGAACUACGGGAGGAUUUGAGCUUUGAAGAGCAACCUAUAAAAAUUCUAACUCGGGAAGUAAAACAACUCCGAAAUCGCGAGAUCCCUUAUGUAAAGGUGCUUUGGAGCAACCAUGAUGAACGUGAAGCAACCUGGGAAUUAGAAAAUGCGAUGCAGGAGCACUAUCCUCAUCUUUUCUAAAGAGUACUCGAGGUAAUGUUUCUCGUUUCGCGGACGAAACUCCUUUUUAGGAAGGGUGAAUGUAGUACACUGAACUUUGGCAAAUUGCAAAGUUCGAGUGGGGGAAGGCCAAUUGGAAUUAGCCGACAUCUUCUAAAGGGUUUAGAGAAGUUGGUGAACAGGUUUGAGAGUGAUCGGAGGGCGGGAAGCGAGAAAGUGCAUCGUUGUGGCUUUAUUUCACUAUUUUGCAUUGUUGUACCGGUACAAAUAUGUAUCUGUAUCGGUACAACAAGCAGCAGAGGCAGCAGCUGUGUGGCAGCAGGCCUAAUUUGGUCUUUUCUCUUCUCUAACUUAUCUAUAAGCCUCUAGCUCGACCCGUGCCCUUCAGAUAAGGUUGCUGGGACUCUGUACCAAGGAUUUACACCUCUCUUACUUUCUCUCUCUAGGAAGUGUUCUCUCUCUAAGUGGAAUCAAGGGUUUUGGUCUAUUUUCCUCUCCUCUUUUGAUGCUAAUUGCUUUGGGAGGUCAAGGAGCUAUUACAGAAGGUGAAGAAGGUGUCUUGGGGUGGAUUUCGCAGCUCCCUUGCAGCAGGUAGCUGAGGGAAAGGUUGCUAAGGUAACAACUUAAUUAAUUUAAGAUUUGAUGUGUUGGUGAUAGAGUUAGGUGUGAUUUUGAGUUCUUGUAACUAGCAGGAGUGGGGGAGAGAUUUUGGCAGCUCGGGAAGGGGGCUGUGACUGUGGAGGUUCAAUCCGAAGCUAGGGGAAGGUACUACCAAAGCUGCGAGAAGGUAAUUGAGUACUUAGACGCAUAAUUGGUGCGAUAGAAGUUAUAAGUAUGAAGUAUGAAUGCUGAUUUUGGGAGUUUGUGUUCUCAGCAGCUGGAAUCUUCACUUUAAACUGAGUAUUACAAUCUUAUGAGCUGAUUUGGAAUGUAAUUUAACCAGAGGGAAGUGAGAAUUCAGGUUAGGAAUCUAUGCAAGCUGAAUUUCAGCAUAUUUUAAGGAAUCGCAUAGGUGUACUAACACUGUUUGAGUAGUGUUCGCAGCAAGUUUGCCAAAGGCUAUCGGAUUGUUCUCGGCUAAUAUUUAGGAGCUUUUGGGGGUUAAGGUGAGUACCUUAACAUGAACCAAAGCAGGGGUUCAAGCUACAGUCGUGUGUAAGGUGAGAUGUUGCUGAAAUUAGAUGUGUUGGUAAUUGUUUCAAUACAGUUUUCUCACUAGUUCGCAGUAGGUGCGGAGAUCACUUUGGGCUAAACAUUGAGCCCUUUUUGGGCUGAAUUAAACUGAGUUUGGGAGUACUUCAACCUGAAUUAAGCAGAGGUUUAGUUUCAGUCUAAGCCUAGGUGAGGAUUUAGUCUAUUUUCUAUGAUUAUGUGAAGUUUUACCAUUGGUAUAGAAGUCAACUCUUAGCUGAUUUCGGAUUUGAUGUUAGGAAAAUUGAAGGCUUCGGAUUUCUUGCGAAAGUAAGUUUGACAAGGAUCGUCAAGUAAUAGGUGGAUCUAACCUUACCAGAGCAAGUGAAACCCCUAUGUUCUAUAUGAUACUAUAGAAUUACUUGGAUGUGUAAUUUUAUGAAUAAGUACUCAACAUCGGGUAUUGAAUGCUAUAAUCACAUUGGUUUAUUGAGUGAAUGGAACUUUUAUAAUGCGAAUAGAAGCAAGAGUAAUAGUAAUGAUACUUAGUCUAAAUAUCUGGACCUUACAUGACAUAGGUACAUAUGCAUUACUUCCAUAACUUGUUGAAUCCAGUGGAUAUAAGCCUUUUCACUAUGUUUAGAUUCCGACCUAUGGGUCGAGUAUGAGAACCUUACAUGUUAUGGUAUGAUUAUCUAAAACUGUUAGACUAUGGAUUAGGCUUACUUGCCAUUGUGCUCAUUCGCACAUGCUUGUGAGGGUCGCUCCCCACAAGCCAGCACUCCGGAGUUGGCCUACGCGACAGAUUGCUCGCCAUGUGGGAUUGGGUGCCGAAGUGGAUUGCCGUGGGGAGUGUAUACUAUUACGGGGCCAUUAGGCGCGGCGCAAGCUGGACUACCCCGUGUAGAUCCAUGUGACUUAAAUUAAACUACUAACUGACAGUAAUAAAGGGUCACCAUUAAUUGGUGUGCAGCACUCACUUACAUGACAUGUUUAUGCUUAUAGUACUCACAUUAUUUGCUUCUAAUUAGUUGAUACAUUGAGAUUAUAAUUACAUGUUCAUCGCUAAUUAUCAUUGUUAUAUCUAGCAUGCUAUAACUGUUUUUACUUUUCCUGUAGUACAUCAUGAGCCUAGUGGUAUAAUUCGCCGAGGCGGACGGCUUACCCACCGGAAAGUAUUGUUUAAUAGUUCUCACGUCCUCUUUGUUGUUGUUUUUACAGAGCCAUCCUCUACGGGAGAGGCUAGGGAUCGCUGCAAGGGAGUCGCGUCUAGCUAAACGUAGCGUGUAGUCCUGAUAGGUGAUCACCUCGCUAUUUUGAGUUGCUGACGAGGUUACCCAUACAUAGAGAGACUACCAUUGUAUUUAGUUCUUGUAAGGUGACAUGUGUGAUGUAUAUAGUGGUUUAGAGUGAUGUAUUUACAGCUUUUGGGUUUCUAUCUCUUGUUGAUUUGUCUGGGAUUUGUACUUAUUUUUCUCCUGUUAGUAGUACUAUUAGUUUAUAUGUUGCUCUGAUAUCACGUUAAAAUCUCUUUAUAAUUGUUCUUGUCCUAACAUGAUUUUAUAGACGUCUUAUAUACUACAGGUAUAUGACGGGUCUGUGCAUGUACCGGGUAUGCUUCAGCUGGUAUCCGGGCGUGNUAUAUAUAUAUAUAUAUAUAUAUAUAUAUAUAUAUAUAUAUAUAUAUAUAUAUACUUUGCUCUGAUAUCAGGUUAUAAUCUUCUUGUAAUUACUACUUUUCUGACAUGAUUUCUGUAGACGUCUUAUAUACUGCAGGUAUAUGAUGGGUCUGUGCAUGUACCGGGUAUGCUUCCGCUGGUACCCGAGCGUGACAAUUUCCCAUGCAUUUAUACUCACAACAUGCAAUAAGAAGCUCACAAGUAACCCUACUAUGCAAUAUGCUCAAUACAUACAUAUGCUCAAAUAUGACACUUUAGACAUAAAAGGAAUUUCGAGGUCUUCGGUAUGCACCACCCACCUUAGUUAGUUGUAGGGAUGCUACGGUUCAAUUCUUGAAAUUUUUGGGCUCCUAUUCCGUGUGUUGUGGCUAUCUGUACCCAAAAUAAGCCAAAUUAGGCUUUUUAUUCAAUAUCUCUACUUAGACCUUUUCGUUUCGCCGAACCGAGCGCUCCAACGCAUCGGAAAUAUCUCUAAUUAGGUUUUCACAAGGUCAAUUUGCCUCGCAAACGAUCGGAGGCAAAAGCCCCAAAUUUGGUGCCCUAAUGUUGCCAUUUGCUCCAACCUAGAUUUUGAUCUCUAGAACAAGCAAAAGAGAGCUUGUUGAACCUCUAGGAACUCUUUUAGAACCUUUUCUAAGCCUUUUAAACCAUUUCUAGGGCAUCUACUAUGAACCCUAGAUGAUCACUAUGAGAGCACAUAAAGCUACCAUGGAUUUUCAUAGAGUUCAUGCCUCAAGAGAGUUUCUACACUUGUAGAAGCUCCAAAACCAAAAGAUCUAGGGCUCAAAUCCAAACCCUAACCUUAUUCUCACAACAGACCUCACCUUAGCCACAAGCUCUCCAAUGUCCACCUUGUAGGAGAGUCCCCAAGCUUUCAAAAGUUCCAAGUCUCCCAAGUUUUUCUUUCAAAUCCCCUCCUCCACCACCUUGAAAGAGAGUUCUAGAGAGAGAAAGGGAGAAAAUGAGGGAGAGAGGUGUGUUGGCUGUGAAAGAGAGAGGGGAGGAGUGUUUGGGGUAUUAUUAUGUUGUAACAAUUACAAUAAAACCCUCCCUUUUCUCUAAUUUGCAGCAGACCUCAAGUUGCUGCCAGACCGAAAGUGUACCGGUACAGGGUAGGGUGUUACCGGUUACAUGAUCGCGCAGAGGCAAAUCCGAGAGCUGCUGUUCGGAUUUUUACAAAGUGUACCGGUAAACAUCUGGGCUGUACCGGUACACUUCUGCGCAGAACCAAACUCGAGAGCUCUCCCUCUUGGUCAGCAAUGUUGUACCGGUACAACAUCGAUGUUGUACUGGUACACUUUGCCCAGACUGCAAUUUUUUGCAUCUUUUUGAUUCUAUUUCGCGCCGAUCGAUGCUAAAACCUUUCUAACCUUUUUGGAACUCAUUUUUAACCCUUCCAACAUUUGUUGGAAUAUUAAUUGGAAAUUGCCCAACUAAUCCUUUCGCACACUUUAGUCAAUUUGGCUAAAAUUCGAUAUUUUCUACCGAAGUUUCGGUACGUUACAUCAUGCCUCUACGAUGUUUCUAAUCUUGCAAGAAGCUCAAAACUCUAAAACUUAGGGUAGAAAUCCAAACCCUAGAACCAAUCUUACAUAACAACUCACCUUAGCCCAAUGCACUCCCAAGUCCACCUUGUAGGAGAGCUUCUAGAUCUUCCAAUCCUCCAAAUCCUCCUCCAAAACCUUCUCCUCCUUCUCCUGCUAGCUUUUGAAGAUGAUCUCUAGAGAGAGAAAGAGGGAAAUGAGAGAGAGAGGGGAUUUGCUGUGUAAAACAGGUGGGAGGGGUGUGUUUGGUCAUUUAUAGGUUGCAACAAUAGCAACCAAGCCCCCUAAAAAUCCAUAAUUGCAGCAGACCCAUUUUUGCUACGGGGCCCAAAGUGUACCGGUACACGUGUCCCUGUCACCGGUACAUUUUCUGCGCAGAGGCAAACCCGAGAGCAACUCUCUGCGGGUUCGCAGCAUUUGUACCGGUACAAACCAAUUUGUACCGGUACAAAUCCGGCCUUUCUCAAACCCAAGAGCUUUUUCCCCUCGGUCAGCACUAUUGUACCGGUACAACCCUGUAUCUGUACCGGUACAAAACAAGGAUUAAAGUGCCGCCCGUGCCGUACGGCACGGGGGCGUGCUGUACCGUGCCCCCAAGAAGGGGGCACGGUACAGGGGGGGUCUCGGACCCCUUCUCUGUCUCGCGGCACGCACCUGUGUGCCGCUCGAGACAAAGCACGGUAUAGGGGGGGGUCUCGAGCAAAUUUUUAAUUGACAUAGGCGAUCCAUACCUGUCGGCCCGAGCACCUGUUGGCCCGAGCCCUCCGCUUCCACCACAGACAUCUAUUUUUUCUUCACAAAAUAUUUUAUCAAAAUUUGUCGCACCACGAAACUUUCGAUGAAUCAAAGAAACAAAAAUCGAUUUCCUAAACAAAUUUUGAUCAGAUAUUUUUAAAAAGAAUAAAAAAACAAAAAAUAUAGAUGUAAUAUUGGGAAUAUAUGAAUUUCUCACAAUACCAGCAAUACUUAUAUCAAUAUUGUCAAAUAAAUCUUGUAUUUGCAGAUAACAAUAUGCCAUAUGAUCCAGCGCGACGAUCUAUGUGAAAUUAAGCAGUCAUCUCUAUGUAAAUAUGUAAAUUUAAAUAAUUAUUGUACUGUGAAUUUUAUUAUUAUAUUUUAAUUUCUAUUCUACAUCAGGUAUAGUUGUAUUUUACUUACAAAAAGCUUUCAUGCAUGUUAAUUGAUGAGUAUAGUAAGAUAUACAUAGUAAAUAUUUAUAUUAUUUUGUUUAAAUCUUUCAAAAUAAUAUUAUAAGAGUUUAUUGGAACCAAAAAAGCUAAAAUAAGUCCGUGCCAAAGCGUGCCAGUAGGAGGUCAUGCGUAUCUGUCGGCACGCAAGCGUGCCACGUGUCGGCACGCAAGCGUGCCCGUGCCGUACCGUACCGUGCCAGGGACGUAACGGCACGCCCCCAUUCCACAGCACUUUAAACCUUGGUACAAAAUGUGCAGACUUCUGUUCUUCGCGUUGUUUCGAGUCUACUCCGCACCGAACAACGCUAAAACCCUUCUAACUCUUCUAAACUCAUUACUAACCUUUCCAACAAGGUUGGAAUGCUAAUUGGAACUUAUUCAAUUACUUCUCUUGGAUGCUUUAGUCAAUUUGGCUAAAGCCCAAUAUCCUCUACCGAGGUUUCGAUAUAUUACAAUUUGUGACCUCUUGAUCGUAAGGUAAAUGAUGUCGAAAAAUUAUAAAAUUUGAUUUCGAGAAGUUUUAAAUGCUGUAAAUAACGUUUAACGGUAUGGAUCGUCGAUUCAGAAGUUCUAUCAUUGAAAAAAUUUGAAAUUUGGUUUCUAGAUACUUCAAGUGGUAUAGAUCAUGUUCAAGGGUGCUGAUCGUCGAUUUGGAGGCUCUAUCAUCGAAAACAGAUGGGUGGCAACGGAGUCCGUUUGCUAUCGAUAGCAUUCCACCUCAACUCUCUCUCUCUCUCUCUCUCUCUCUAUAUAUAUAUAUAUAUAUAUAUAUAUAUAUAUAUAUAUAGGCUGGAAUACUAUUAAUAGUACCAAUGACUUGAUGCUAUUAAGUUUUUCGCCCUUGGAUUAAAUGAUGUAUGGUUAGGAUGAUGUGGACCCCCUAAGGUUGAGUGGGUGGUUGGUUGAAUAGUAUAAUCGAACGGAUGAAAAUGAUAAAAGAGGUAAAUCUAACGGCAGAAAAUUUGAUAGCACCAAAUGCUUCGUGCUAUCGAUAGUAUCCCAGCCGGACUAUAUAUAUAUAUAGAGUCCGGCUAUGGUGCUUGUAAAAGCACCAAGCACUUGGUGCUUGUAAAUUUUUUACCAUUAGAUUUACCCUUUGAUCAUUUCUCAUAACGUUAGAUUAUAUUCUUCAUCAAUCCGACCCACCUCAACACAGUGGGGCCCACAUCAUCCCACAUCAUCACUAACAGCACAUCUUCCUUAAUCCAAGGCCGAAAAAAUACAAACACCUAAUGACUUGUACUUUAAAACAUAGAGAGCUCAAUUCUCUAUAUAUAAUAUUAAUAAGAAUAGGAAUUCUUCUCUAUAAUAAUCUAUAGAUAGAGAGAGAAUUCCUCAAUUCUAUAUAUAUAUAAUAGAGGAAUUGAGCUCCUAUAUGCUUUAAAAAAGUACCAAUUCAUUGGUGCUUUAAGUUUUCGGCCCUUGCAUUAAGGAAUGUCGGUUAGGAUGAUGGCCCCCUAGGUUGAGUGGGUGGUGGUUGAAUAGUAUAACCUAACGGAAAAAAUUGAUCAAAGGCAGAGAUCUAACAGUAAAAAAUAACAACACAAGUGCUUGGUGGCUUUUAUAAGCACAUCAGAACCAAUAUAGAGUCCUGCUGGGAUACAUUGAUAGCACUAAAGAAUUAGUGCUAUCGAGUUUUCCACCGUUAGAUUAACCCUUUGAUUAUUUUUAACCCGUUAAUUAUACUAUUCAACAACAUUACUCAACCCUAGGGGCCCACAUAUCCUAACCGCACAUUUUCUCAAUCCAAGAUUAAAAACUAAUACACAAUAGUUUGGCCUAUUGAUAGUAUUCAGGCCUAGUUCUAACGGUGGAAAACUCGAUAGCACCAGUCCUGGUGCUAUCGAUAGUAUCCUAGUCGGACUCUCUCUCUCUCUCUCCUCUCUCCUCUCUCUCUCUCUCUCUCUCUCUAUAUAUAUAUAUAUAUAUAUAUAUAUAUAUAUAUAUAUAUAUCAAUUCGGGUUUGAGUUUGGUAUAGUUAAAAUUCAUAAAUGAAUCCAAAUUUGUCAUAUUUUUUAUUUUUUAUAUUCAUAUCCGAAACUAUAUCUGUCCGAAACUAUAUCUGUUUAGUAUCAGAUAAAUCUGUUUCGUUUGGGUUCGGAUUUGGAUAAAAUUUCAGGUAUCCAUACCCAUGGACAUUUCCACUACUAUUUAAGAGAGAAAGGACACUGUUAAAUACAUGCUCUCUUAUUGGACAGUUUGAAGAGAGAAAUCUGUUAGUUAAAAAUAUGCUUAUCUCUGGUCCAUUAAAUCUACAGUUAUAAAUAUGCAUAUUUAUGAUGCAUGAUAUCAAAGAUAUGCAUAUCUAUAUCUUUGGAUAUCUCGAAUUAAUAAUUUUAAAUUAAAGUUGUGAAUUGCAAUGAUCUUCUGUAUAUAAAGGGGUUGGGGGGGUUAAGGGUGAGUGCCAUAGGAGUGAUCUCUUCUUUAUGGCUUCCAAACGGUCAUAUGAACUUUGUUUUCUGUUGCUUUGCCUUCACGCGACUUGUGAAAAACUCAACGGAAGGGAGAUAAUCAAUCAGAAAGGGGGAGAAUGGGAGCGGCUAAAUCGUCUCAUGGACCCUCCAAUCCACAAUACUCAAGUGCUUGAAUACUUAUUGCUUCCAAUGCUUUACAGUUUUUAUGAAACCGUUUAAUUUCGCAUCAUUUUCGAUAAUUAGACAUUCGAAUGAUGAUUUGCAUCAUGUACAUAUGAUUUAGGAUAUAUACUGUUUUCUUAGAAAAAUUAGAAUCAGUUGAAUUUUGGAUAAAAAAAAUCUAUCUAUGAUUUAGAUCAAGAUUUUUAUUGUCGAUCUUGAGUUUAAAAACCGGAUCCUUUAUUUUUAGUAGGUUGCUUUGAUUUGAUUGUUCAUUUUAUAACUGCUCGACAGACUUCAUUACAUAGACUCCGGCUUGUAUAUUUUUCAUAGCAUGAAGGUCUCCAUGCUAAUAAGUUAUUUUAGUGAUAAGACCUCCAAAUUGACAAUCAGCUGCGUGGGACACGAUCUAUCUUAUUGAAAGUAUUUGAAAGUCAAAUUUUAUAUUUUUUUUAACAUGCACCAUUUGACUAGUGAUCAAAAGGACUGAACUUUCUAUCAAAAAGAAUUUUAGUUGUUCAUCCAAGAAUUUUCUAUAAAAAUGAAUUUCAAUCGAUAGUUUUUGAAGACUUAUACGAGCCGUUUUCUUAUUUAAUAAUGUAGAACAAUUCAAACCGCUCAAAUUUUUCGAUCCUUUGAUCACUACAUAAAUAAUUUUUAAAAAUUAUAAAAUUUGGUUUCUAAAUACUUUAAAUACUCUAAAUAAUUUUAAUUGUUCCAAUCAUCGAUUCAAAAUCCCUAAAAAAUAACUUGAUUGGAUAAAGGACUCCAUAAUCCUAAAAGGAUAGUAGCUAGAUUUACAUAUACAUAUAUAUACAGAGUACGUCUCCUAUGCUUUCGAAAGCAUGAAGGCUUUCGUACUUGUAAGUUAUUUUUUAUGAUAGAAUAUUCGAUUCGAUGAUCAACUCUGUUAACCAUAAUCUACGUUAUUGGAACUAUCUAAAAAUUAAUUUUCAUAAUUUUUUGACAUUAUUUACUAAGUGAUCAAAAAGUCUAAAAAAUGACUAUUUUAACGAUCGAUGUAGCACGUUUUAAAGUUUAACAGUGUAAAACAAUCCAAAUUAUAUGAAACUUUAAUAAAAAAAUUUACUUAACAUUAAAGCAAGAUUAAUACUUCUGAUUUAAAAUUUAAGUCUUUUAUCACUAUUUUUUUAUGAGAUUUUCAUUUUCAGUUAUUCAUUUUAAGGCUAUUCGUUCACUAGGCAAUAAAGUCAAAAAAUUAUGAAAUUUGAUUUCUAAAUAGUUCAAUAACGUACGUAAAUCAUGUUUAACGGAACCAAUCACUGAAUAGGAUGUUUCAUUAUCGAAAAAAACUUAUAAGUACGGAGGCCUUCAUUAUUUCGAAAGUAUAGAAGCCUACUUCUCUCCUCUCUCUCUCUCUCUCUCUAUAUAUAUAUAUAUAGUUUGGCAACUAUACUCUUAUUAGCAUAAAGAGAUCUAUAUUUAUAAGAGUAUAGUAGCCCUAGUAUAUAUAUAUAUAUAUAUAUAUAUAUAUAUAUAUAUAUAUAUACAUANCUUUCUAAAGUUUUGUGCCUUAAAUUUCGUUGAAAAUAAUGUCCUUUAUAUCUAUUUCUUGCCUAACAUAAUCUAAUAUUUAUUUUAUGUGAUAAUACUUGCAUCAUAAGUGCGCAUCAUAUGCAUGCAGUACCUACCAUAAGCAAGUAAAGCAAUAAUUUAAUUUUUGUUUGCUUACAUUUCUACUGUUUAGAAAUAUAACUCAAAUUACAACAAGUAGCCACAUUAUAAACGUCUUUUCAUUAUGUGUUUCAAAAUAUUUUCUUGCCAUUUAAUGUAUAUAUAUAAUAUAUAUAUGCAUUUGUUUUUUUCUUGUUAAUUAUGAUAAAGACUAUCAUAUAUAUAAUUAAGAAAAAAAUAAUCUAAUUGUACAUCCUAAAAAUUUUAGGUUGUAAAUUUUUUCCCUCCGUCUUGACGUUCACAAACCCUUUUAGAUUUUUAAUAUUUACACUGGAACAAAUAUUGGCUGUUGCAUCAAAAGGUAUAAAAUUUGUACUCUUUUGGAGUCUGCAGGUAGCACUGCUCUAUAAUUAAGUCCUUUCUUAAUUAUGAGAAGACUACUGAAAGAAUACCUAACUAAUUUAUAUUUACAGUUUGGAGGCAGUCUGAAAGAAGUAGAUUCAGAUGAAAAACAUCAUUCCAAUGAGUCGGAAAGUAGUAAUCGAUCUGUACAUUUGAGAGAAGAGCCAAUUGCGCCUGAUCCGCCAGACUAUAUUCGUCAUGUAAUCAUUUUAAAAUUUUUCAUAGCUUAUAACAUUAAGAAGUUAAAAAAUGUGACACCCAAGUUCUAUACCGGAUGAGAAGGGAGUUGCAAUUGGAUAUAUAAGAGGCUAUGAAUUCUAAUAAUACUACGUAGGUUCAAAAAAUUUAGGCAGGUGGUUUAAACAUAACGAGUUAUUAUUUCUAGUGGGCUGAAUCAUUAUAAAAAAACUAUAAUUAUUUUGAAUUAAUUGCUUUAUUGUUUCUUUCUAUUAUGCAAUUUCAAGAUAUGAUUAUGAUUUUUGUACUAUUUAAUAAGCCGACCCACUAAUAAUAAUAACUUGUUAGAACCAAACCAACAGUCCAAAAUGCUUAAACUCAGUUAUAAUUAUUAUUAGGGUCUUUGUUCCUUAUGUAUUCAAGAAUAAUCCCUUUUUCCAUCAGAUUUGGAACUAUGAAAGCAAUACAACCACCACUCUUUUUCUCUCUCUCUCUCUCUCUCUCUAUAUAUAUAUAGGCUAGGGCUACUAUAUAUACUCUUAUUAAUAUAGACCCUUUGUACCCAUAAGUUUUCGACAGUUGGAUAAAGGAUGUGUGGUUGUGAUAAUAGUGGUUUCUAGUUAGGAUGAUAGUGGUCCCCUAGGGUUGAGUGGGUGGUUGGUUGCAUAGUAUGAUCUAAUUGGUGGAAAUGAUCAAAGGAAUAGAUCUAACGGCCGAAAAUUUAUAAGUANAUAUAUAUAUAUAUAGUGUAGGGCUAUUAUACUCUUAUAAAUAUAAAGCCCUUCGUACUUACAAGUUGUUUUCAAUAAUGAACCUUCCGAAUCGACGAUCCACUCUAUUAAAUAUGAUCUAAAGUAUUUAAAACUUCUAAAAAAUAAAUUUCGUAAUUUUUCGAAAUCAUAAUAAAGUCCAUCAAGCGGAUAUAAAAUGAACGGUCAAAAUCGAACGACGUCCUAAACAUGGAUGAUCGGAUCCUUCAAUUUAUGAUCAAAGUUAUUGAUCUUUAUCUAGAUAGUGAAUAAAAUUUUUUAUUAAAAGUUCAACCAAUUCUGAUUCUUUUACACUGUUGAACUAACAAAUAUCCCAUACCAGCCGUUAAGAAUUGUCAUUUUGAGAUCUUUUGAUCGCAUGGUAAAUGAUGUCAAAAAAUUCUAAAAAUUUAUUUUUAGAAGUUUUAAAUGCUUUAAAUAAUGUUUAACAGUAUGAAUCAUCGAUUCGGAAGCUCUAUCAUCAAAAAUGACUUAUGAGUACGAAGGCAAUUGUACUUAUAAAAGUAUAGUAACUGGACUCAUAUAUAUAUAUAUAUAUAUAAUUAGGCUACUAUACUAUCUAUAGUACCGGAGCUCCGGUACUAUAGUGUUGUUUUCGAUCUUAGGGCGUUCAAAUCAACGAUCCACACCGUUAAAUAUGAUCUAGGGUAAAUGAAGUUCUUAGGAAUAAAAUUUUAGUUUUUUUCGACAUCGUUUACUUAGUAAAUAAAUUAUGUAAAACUGGACCCGUGGAAAUAUGAAUACUAUUUAAAAUUUGACAUAAGACUUUUAAAUCACAAGAUCAAGAAAUGUUAACCUUAAUCAUAUAGUAUUAACAGUAUUUUCUAUCAAAAAUUUGAAAAAUUUAGAUCCUUCUACACUGUUAAACUCCAAACUCAGUCACUAAUAACCAUUGAAAAUGACAAUUUUUGAAAUUGUUUGGAUCUAAAGUAAACUAUGUCGAAAAAUUUAAUUUUAUUUUAACUUAAAAUCCUAGAUCAGUUUUAACGGUGUGGAUCGCUUGAUUUAAGCUCCGAAGUCAACGGAACUAUGUACGGAGCUCCGGGUACUAUAGCACUUUGUAUAAGUACCUAGCUCGUAUAAUUAUAUUUAUAUAUACUAUAGGUCGGCUACAUAUCCUAUUAAUGGAUAGGAAGCACUUGUCCCUUCAAGUCGUUUUGGAAUGAUUGGAAACUCAAAUUGAUAAUCCGCACGUUGAAAUUGAUCUACAACAAUUAGAAAUGUUUAGAAACCAAAUUUCUGUUAAUAUUGAAAAUUCAAUCAAGUUCAUCUUUAAGAGUUAAAAAAAUGAACCGGUCAUAAAUGACAUAACUUCUUAAAAUAGAGGUUAACUUUUCUAAUUCAUAAAUCAGAGUUAUCAAACAUUUAUCUAAAUAGUAUCUAAAGAAUUUCUAUCAAAAAAUUAAGGCAUUGGGAGUUGCUCUACACCGUCUAAACAAGCAAACGUCCUCAUAAAGGCCGUCAAAACAAUCUGUCAAUUUUUACGACCACUUGGAAUCACCAUGUAAAUAAUUUUUAAAAUUUAUGAAAUUAGUUUCUAGAUAUUUCAAAUACUCGUAGACUCAACGUUCAACGGCUGAUCAUCGAUUCGAGUUUUUCUACUCAGUCAAGAACAUUUUGAUGAUAGGACAAGUGCUUACUAUCCUAUUAAUAGGAUUAGUAGCCCUAGGCAUAUAUAUAUCAUAUCAUAUAUAUAUAUAUAUAUAUAGUAUAUAUUAUAUCUCUAUAAAGUAUAGUAUUAUUUGGUAGUGUGCUAAAGAUAUUUUAGAAGUAAUUUCAGCCUCUUUACUUCAGGUUUGGUAACUCUUUGGAUAAAGAUUGUUGUUUCGGCGGUGAAAAGUGGUCUCUCAGAGUUUAGUGAUGGUUGGUGCGAUAGUAUUAAGGUCAAAGGUUAGCAGUGACAAAUGGUGAUCCAAAGGUGAAAAAGCUUAGAAAUGAAACUGGAGAUAAUGCUACCAGAGCCCCAAAACAUUACUAGCUUAUAUAUAUAGUAUAGAGAGUGUUCAGUGUAGAAUAUUAACAGUAACAUAUUUUAACUUUUUCACCCUUUGGGAAUCAUUACUCUUACCUCCAAACGCCCAUCAGAUUCUAGGCAUCCAAUGGUCACAAAGUGGAUUAAUAUCCCAUACUAUUAAUAGCAUUUCAACACAACUCAUGUAUACUACUAUAGAGUCCGGCUACUAUUUCUUAUGAGUAUAGAUUCUUUGCACUUUCAUUAAGUUAUUCUGCCGUUAGAUCUAUCAAUUUGACCAUUUCCACCCAUUUAGAUAUAUAUAUUAACUAUUCAACUAAUACCCACUUCAUUAUGGGAAGCACUAUCGUCUUUCACUUGGCAACUACUAUUAUCUUAACUUCACAUUCCUUUAUCCACAUGGCCGAAACUUCAUAAAUGAAUAUAAAAGGGCUAUACUUAUAAACAAUAUUUAGCUGCUAUAUAGUACUAUAUAAUUAUAAUAUAAUUAUAGGUAUAUAUAUAUCAAUAUAAUAUAUAUAGUUCCGGCUAUUAUGCUAUUAAUAGCACGAAGCACUUGGUGCUACCAAAUUUUUCGCCGUUAGAUCUACCCUUUUGAUCAUUUUCACCCGUUAGAUCAUACUAUUCAACCAACCACCCACUCAACCCUAAGGGGCCCACAUCAUCCUAACCGUAUAUCUCUUAAUCCAAGGGCCAAAAACUUGAUAGCACCAAUGACUUGGUGCUAUUAAUAGCAUAGUAGCCUAGUUCUAUAUAUAUAUAUAUAUAUAUAUAUAUAUAUAUAUAGUUGAGCUAAAAUACUAUCGGUAGUAAACGAGCCGUUUCACUACCGAUUUGUUUUAGAAGUACCAACUCCUUGGUGCUUCUAGGUUUCUAACCCUUGGAUCUACUCCUUGAUUACUAAUAGCCUUUGGAUCAAAUACUAUUCCAUCUAUCACCACCUACCACCAUCAUUCCAACCCUAUAUCACUCCAUCCAAGGGCUACAAACCCAAAAGCACCAACACCUUGGUGCUUUUGGGAGUAUUUUAGCUCAACUAGAAGCAUAUAUACUUCUAACUUUAAAACCUUUGGAUCUCUAGAGUUUACUAGUUAGUGGCGAUAAUAGUAUA